rnacentral:lncRNA from 1 species
AAUAUAAAUAUAUAAGACUGGAAUACAAACACACACAACCAAAAUACAUAGAAAUAGGACCACCAUGCAAAGUUAUGGACUUUAUGCUACAUAACAAUAGGAUUAAGAUACAAAAUAAUAUUGACUGGGGUACACACAUGACAUCACCUUAUGGGUGGUAUUUUUUGGGUUUGGAUUGUUCAAGAUACUGCUGCAACAUGUCUUUCACCAUCUCCUUAAAAUCUGCAUCUCCAAUCAGCGGCUGAGAUAAGCAUCCAAAUUCAAUUUUUUUCCGUUAUAGAAUUUGGAGAUGUAGAUUUCAAGGAGAUGGUGAGAGACAUGUUCUUAAAUCCUUCGCCGCAUCUCUUCUCAUCUACAACCAGACCUGUAAUCUCCUCGUGUUCAACCAAACCUUGAACUGGAAAGUGAUUAAAAUUCAGAUAACCUGGUCUUGGAAUAACUGCAGAUAAGGAGGUGGAUGGUGAACUUGCUGCACCAUCUAUGCUGCGAGUAACUAAACUCUUUAUUGCAUCUACUCUUCUAGUGAGAAGCUUUCUUUUAUUUUAACCAACAGCCUUUUGGUAUUGCACAGAAGCCAGAGCUCAGGCAGAGAGUAGCGCCAUGCGAGGGGCCAUCUUUCAUUCUGAUGGGUGUGGAUGAUGCAAUCUUCCAAUGCGCUGAUGGCCGUGCAUGUGGAGACAAUUUCUUCCUUCUGAUGGUUGUUGAUGGCGUGAUGCUCUUAGCUUCCAACGCAUCUCUCUCUGGUGUGUUCCUCCUCUGCUUCUUGCAACUCCUCCAUAAACUUUAUAUAGAAGAAUACAAAUAAAUAAAAUAAGUUCAAAAAAAAUAUUUAAAUUGAUUUUUUAUUCUCCUUCACUUUCUCUUUUCUUCUAUUUUUCCUCUCUAUUUUUCUUUAGCUCACAUGUUUUCUCAAUCUUUCCAAGAACCAAACAUAAGAUAAAUGAUGGCCAAACAUUUUGAUAAUAACCAGAUGAAUUUUGGUGAGACAUGUUAAUAAACCAAGGGUGUGUAUGUAUUCAUUCUCACAAACAUAUAUAUAGACGUUUCUCCAGUGUGAAGAACAAAGGAAUUUCUUGUGUUGAGUACAGGAAGGGGAAAAGAAUAAAAACAAGGGAACAAAGUAAAGCAAGAAAAAUGUUUUCAUGCUUAUGGAUACUUCCACCUUAAGCAAGGAACUUUUAUUCUUCUGUCAAUUACCUCUGCCUUAAGACACGAAUUCUCUUUUUAUUUUGCUGAAAAAGUGCUGGUUAUCUCCACGUCUCAUGAUGGCUAAGAUAUCACGUCCACAAUUCCCAACCCAACUGUCUUGAAUGUUGCAAGCUUCAUCAAUGGUCCUGGUUUCUUCAUCCAGAGAAACCGAUUUAAUAAGAUCAGCUCUAACGCUUUUGCAACUUUUUCUCACAUACAUACCCAACCAUUAAUAGUAGAAAGACAAUGAAUUAUGACAAACAUGAUAUAUUGAAAAGAAUUAAUGAAGAAAGGUUGAGAACUCUAGUAAUAGCUAGAGUCAUAGGUUUAAGAAGAUCCUUUGUCUAACAUUUUAUAUUGGUAAUUUCAUAGUUUUCUUCCCUGAAUAUUGUAUUAAUACCCAUUAGACCAUAAUUUCAUUCAUUAUGAAACUAGUGCUAUUAAUUAAGUAUUCCCAAUUAAAUACGAUUCAAGCAUAUGAUAUAACGAAACAAAUUAAAAUUCUUGGUGUACAGCAGCUUAACUUCCUCACAAGUUUGCCCAGAUGAAUGAAAUAUCAGAAAGAGAGAAGGAAACUAAGUUGCAAGGCCAUAUCAAUUAUUAGGUUUACUGAACUGUGAGAGGGCAACGAAACAUAAGAAAACAAUGGUAAAGCUUGGCCAUUGCCAGCCACCUAUGACCCAAUUUCCCAAGGGACAUUGAAAUUGAAUAUUAUCACAUCUUGGUGGUUUUAGAGCUAAUGUUCUCAACGUUGGGAUAUUGUAAUGAACACCCAAGCCAUUUUCGCAAUGGAAGCCUCUUUCUUUGAUUCUUAUCAAACUAAAUCACCUAAGAUAUUUGGCAUCUAAUUGACGCCAUCAACCUCAAAUAAGCAUGUAUGGAACCACACAGUCCAAAGUGAUGAAACAAAGCCUCAGGACGGUCAUUAAAGUAGAAUACAGGUACGCAAGGACCAGCCCAGGUAUGGGAUCAAAAUGUAUGGGAAGUAAGGCUUUAUUAUGUUAGUCUUUCUUAUGUGGCCACACAAAUCAUUAUCUUCAUUCUAAGGGCCUACAAUGACUAUGGACAUAUCUGAUUAACAGCUCGGCUGGAAAGGUAACCAAAGGAGAAAGAGACAUUGACACAAAUGCUGGAGCUAGCAAUUCUAAAGGGAAAAUGAAGUAUAAAGACUGAAGCAAAGAAGCAAACGACCGGAUCACCCUAUUGUGCAACGAGGAAUCCCUCUUUCCUUACACUACAAUAAUCUACAAUACUCUGUGGAAAAGCUAGCCAAGGAUAGAUAUAUUCCGCACUUCAUCCUGGGUCUCAUGCGUGUUCGGCCAUCCUGUAAUUGGCCACUGCAAAUGGGGGAAAAUUUCAGUGCUGCCUUGAUCUUCUUUUGUUGCAGCUCCCACUGAAUGAAAGCUUCCUCCAUCCGAUCCUCUAGUAUGCUAAGUUUCAAUCCAUACCUAAAUGCCAUGCAGUAGAGCAGUCUUAAUACAAAUAUAUUUGAAAUAGACUUCAUGAAGAAGUGAAUUUUCUGAAUAUAAGAUGCUUUGAAAUGAAAACAAUAUAUAUUCGAAUUGGAGCAGGAGAAAGACAUAAUUAACUAUCAGUUUGAAGGUAUAUAUGUAGCAAAUUUUCAUUGAAAAUGAGCUAUAAAUACCAAGCAAUUAAUGGUCACCCAAUUGUAAGGAGAGAGGUCUUUGCUCUUCAGGCUCAUUAAAAACUUGAUCAAGCUCCUUCAUCUAAUCAAACACCCACCCAAACAAGUGAAAAUAAUUUAUAAAAGAAAAAAAAAAUCAGGAAAUGCUUAGAAUAAGGAUGGUAGUGAAAAAAAAAACAUAUUUUCAUAUUUGGUUUCAACAUAUAAAAUAUGAAAGAAAAUCAAAUAUAACUAAAAUUAGUUAGAAAUUUUUAUAAUUUUUAAUUAUUUUAUUUUUAUAUAGAAAAGGAAAAAUAAGUGAAACGAGUUUGAAUUACUGUAUAAAAUAUUUUAUUGAUUUUUAAUUUAUUUUUUGUUUUUUCUUCACUUUUUAUUUUUUCACUUUUCCUCUCUAUUUCCUUCCCCUCACAUUCUUCGGGAACCAAAUAGCCAUAACAUGGGCUGGUCUUUUUAUGAUGUCGACAACUACCAUGGUCUCAUUUCUUUAUAUCUAUCUUCAAUUAUCAUAUUUCAAUGCAUAUGGCAAAUAUUUAAAUUUUUUGGAUAAUAGAUAGAACAUAUUUUCUUUUAGAGAUAUCAAAGAUGAGAAGGUCCAAAACUUCAAGUACUUUUAAGGUCGUUUUCAGAAACCAUCUUGCUCGUUUACAUCCCAUAAACCAUAGGCUAAGUUUGGUUCCCAAAAAAUGCAAGGGAAAGGAAAAAAAAUGUUGUGCAAAAUCAUUUUCCUUAGUUUAGAUGACGUGGAAAAUACCAUAGAAAAAAAUAUAAAAGAAAAUGCUAAUGAAAAUAUUAUAAUAUUUUCCCUACUACUUUCCUUAAAAAAUAAUUGGAAAUAUAGAAGAGAAAUAGAAGGAAAAAGUUGGGAGAAAUUUUAUCGGGCUCGCUAUAUCAUCUUUAUCAAAUCUCUUGUUCGCAUAACCUCUUUAUCAGUCACUAUGACUUCUCACCACCAUUGGCCCUUUCAACGGCCACCACCAUCACUUUGAUCACCUCCUAGUGCCUCCAACAACCUACCCUCUUUGAGCACAUGAGUUCCCAUGGAUGAAAUGUGUUCUUCAAAUCAAGUUCCCAUGGAUGAAAUGCAUUCUUCAAAUCUGGUGAAUGUGCUUGCAUCCAUGUCUUUAGAUCACGUAUGAAUUGUUGAAACUCUCGUAUGUUGAAAUUUGUGGCCUCUAUUUGGCUUUAUUUUUCAUGGAGGAUUCAAGGUUCAUAGAGAAGUUAGACUUUCUCUAGUUCUUUUCCAAUGUUCUUUCUUCAAUAAGUCAAGCUAUCGUUUCUAAUACUGAUGAGAAAUCCACUCAAUACUAUGUCAAUCAUAGUUCCAAAGUAGAGGCAACCAAACCCUUGAGCCCUAUUACUGAGAAUUAGAAUAAUCAAACUAAAGGUUCUAGACCAACUCCAAAGGUGUUGUAAUAGUGGUGAGUUUGCUACUAAAACCGAAGCCCAGAUAGUGAAAACAGAGGUCUUGGAAGUGCUUCUACCAGUGAAAGAAGAAAGAAAGAGAAGAAGUAAGAGAAGCUUAAAGUCUUAUUUAAAUCAAAGAAGGGGUUCUUGGGAAGUCUAAUUUACAAGCGAAGGGGCUUUGGUGAUAUGGAUUUUUUCUGUGAAUGUGGUUUGUGAGAAUUGGGUAGUUGAGGAAGCGUCUAGGUAUCAAUUGUUUGGCAGUCCAUAUCAUGUCAAGAUGCCUUCUUUUAGUGAUGGUAUGGCCAUGAAAUAACAUCUCAAGUCUUGGGCUUACACAAUUGCCUGCACUAUUAAAUGACAUAGUUUUAUGGGAGUUGCAUUUUGCCUCUCUGUCACAACUUUGUAUGUGAUUAAGGAGUUCUUUUUGGGUAUAGCUGUUACAGGUCAUAUAUUUUGAGACCAAACAAGGGAUUAGAAGGACGCAGAUUAUAAUUUUGAAAUUUUUUUAUUAAUUUUGUUUUCCUUGACUUUUCCAUGGUUAAUCAAACAAAGGAAAAUGAAUUCUUAGUUUUUUCCUUUAAAUUUUCCAUGAAUAACCACAUGAGAAAAAUUUUAUAUUUCUUUCUUUACCUUUUCCUUUCCUUCCAUUUUUCCAUCCAAUUUUUUUUCUCUAGCAUUUUCCUAGAACCAAACAUAACCGUAAUCUUAUAGUAGUCCACUGUUUAUAUGGAAGAAAAGAAAUAUAAGGUAAUUUUCCAUUGGUAUGAAUAUAAAAGUAUAAUUGCAAACAAACAAGAUUAAAAAGAGAAAAAAAAUGAUAUGAAACUGUUAUAAAAAUCAUUAUUUCAAAUGGGUAAAUAAAUUUUAAUAAAAAUUGAAUUUGUAAAUUACUUAUCUUUUUCUAACUCUACGUUGUCAUUAUAUUUAUUAUCUAUGAGAAGCAAUCUUAAAUUAUGAAAACAAAGAACUAAGGUUAUGUUUGAUUCUUCAAAAAGUACUAAAAAAAAUGUUAAGGAAAAUGAUUUUCUGAUGCUUGAUUUUGUUGUCCAUAUCACUGAAAAUAUAUGGACAAUAAGUGUGUAUAAUAAAUAUAUAAAUAAAAUGAAGUAAGUAGAAAAGUAAAAUUCACAUAUAAGGUUGAUCUAGGGUAGAGUUUGACUUUAUAUUCUUAAGACAAAUUUGUCCUACUUAGGUGCUUACGGUUUCAGGAUACAACGAUCACUUUCUUGUGAUAAUAGCACUUCAAAUCACAAGAAACAACAAAUUACUUAGUGAUUUGUAUUCUCUUGUGUACCAAAUACGUGAUAGAAAAGUGAAAUAACUAGACUUGAAACUAAGGACUUGAAUGACAAGAAAUGAGAAAAAGUGGAGAGAAUGAAUGAAUGAAUGAAAAUGCCAUGAGGGAGGGUCCCUAUUUAUAGAUUUGAUGGUGAUGACUUUUAGAAGAGAUGUGUCUUUAAACUACUAGACACAUCCUUUGAAGGGUUGUGUCUUAAGACACCAAACACAUCAUUUGGAAGAGGAUGUGUCUUUUAAAUACAAGACACAUCCUUUAAAACAAGUUGUGUCUAUUAAGAAAAGAUAUGUCCUAUUUUCUAUUCAUCUGUAAAAAUUCCAACAGAUUUUACUAUGAAAAAGAUUAAAAAUAAUAUAAAAUAUAAUUAAAAGUAGUUAGAAAUGUAUAUGUUUUAAAUUUUUUUAAUUUUUAUGUAAGAUAGGAAAAUAAGUAAAACGAGUUUGAAGAAGCAUAUAAAAAGUAACUUUAAACCUACUUUUUAGUUUCUUUCACUUUUUCUUUCAUUCUACUUUCCUUUCUAUUUUCUUUACCUUGCAUUUUCUCUCACUUUUUUUUGGGAACUAAACAUAGUCUAAAUGUUCUCAUACCAUGAAACUACCUUAAAAAUGAAUAGUUAGUCCUUAUAACUUAGCCCAAAAAUUCAAUUUUUAAUUUUUUAUCAGUUCCUUGGUUAGAAUAUUAAUUAUGAAUUAAUUUGUAAAAUUCAAUUGCACCAAUAGAUAAGUGGUUUACCUAGAAAAUCACCCAAAAAUCCUCAUAAAGACCUUGUAGAUAUAACCAUGUGAUCACAAACCACAAUGCUAAAUCCACUAAAUAUGAAAAAUAAAUAUUGAUCUGACUUGGUAAUCACUACACUUCCUAAGACUCAUAUUGUUAGUACUUACACUUAUUUUUCAUGUUUGUAAUGCAAUGUGUUGGAACACCUCCAAACUUCUUAGUGAACUCCUCAACAACUUAAGGAGAUGUGAUCCUAAUAUGACAAACUUACAAAUAAAGAUGAACUCAUUCUAAAUGCGUUAAAUUAAGUGCAAAGGAUAAUAAUAUAAAAUUUUAAGUAUAUAAAAGUGAAUCCGACCCACAAAAUUAGAGGGUGCUUAAUUAAGGCACUCCUAUUAAAACCUGGUUUUCAUGUCCUGUUAUCUUUUUCCCUUUUUAUAGUUUUUCAAUAAAAAAUAUUUUUGUACAUAAAUUUUAUUCCUGAUUUUCAUAUAAGUCCACUUAUGUCUUUUAUGUCAUCUGACCUAAUUAACUCAACUGCUUACUUGUGUAACUUCAAGGUUAUUUUACCGCAAUCUUUAGUCUUCAUAGGUGAUGUAAAUCAUGGAAACAAUUAGAGUCCUAAUCCAUGAUGAAUGAAAUAAAAUAAUCAACUUAACGAAGUAACGCAACAAAGAUAUAUACAUUCUCUAACUCUAUGUAUUAGUAGUCUUUUUGAGUUUCAUUAAUCCAACCUUGUAAUAAAUUCACCACAUGAUUAAUCUCAUUUUUUAUAUACAUUUAGAGGGUACCUGGACAUUCAUUGAGUAAAGUUGAUGAUUUUAUCUUCAGAAUUUUGAAAUUUUGUGAUGGAUCAGCAAGCCUGCAUUGAAGCCAUAAGUAUGUGGGAGGCUACUCAACCUACAAUUUAAUGUGAUCUCUACAUUAUCGGAUCUUUGAUAAUUUUAAUUAUAACAACUUAAAAAAUAUGGCUGCCUAGUUUGGAAUGACAUAUUUAAGAAAUAUAACAACUUGUGUGCUAUGGGUUCAAUUCUAAAUAUACAUUAAUUUCUAUUGAAUUGAACUCAAUUCGUAUGUUGACACACACUAAAUGAUCAAAAUGUGACUUUUUAGGACACUAACUGUCGUAUAUUUAGAAAUAGUCUUAGAAGCAUCAUCUUUUAAAAAUUAUUUUUAAAAUUUGAUGUAUUCAGUUAAAAAAAUUCCUAUUAUAUAUAUAUAUUCAUACUUUUUUAAAAUUUCAUUUUUCAUAUAAAUUUGUAAAAUUAAUAUUUAAUAUCUAAAAUUAUUUUAUAAUGGUUGAAGUGCCAUAUUAAUUCACAUUGAUAAUGUUUUAAAUAUGUUAGCAUUUGUUGGGUAAAUUACCAUUUCAUUUUCCUUAUCAAAUUAAUAAUCUUAGUAAAAUUAAAUAAAUAAUUUAUUAUUGCAAUAAUGAUUUCCAAAUACAAGUAAAUGGAAUCCCGUUAUCACAGGCCAUCUUAUACUAUAGAUUUAUACAAAGUGUAAAUAUUGUUUGUUACAUUUUUUUUUAAUCAAGUAAGCUUAUAAUCAUUAAAAAAAUAAAAUAAAAAGAGUUUACAUAGUUCACAAUGUUUUGCAGGAUUUUGGUAAUUUCAUGUGAAAUUUAUGGAAAAUAACCCUCAUGUGUAGCUCAUGUCAUGCAUAAAUGGCAUGAUACCAAUUAUAUAUGAGCCUAUAACUUGUUUUCACUCGGAAUAACUUAUUAAAAAUGUCAGUGUUUAGUUUUUCUUUAACAAUUAUCAUUUCAUAUUGGGAAUGAAUGAUAUGGGAAAAUAAGAAAGCAUAACAACGGAGCAACUAUGGAAAUUAUAUGGGAAAGUAAGAAAGCAUUACAACAGAGCAACUACGGAAAUUAGAUCAACGUUUUGUUGUACUUUGGUAGAAAAAAAGAAGAGAGGUCUCUGGUGUUUUAAAGGGUUCACAGAAGAAUACUUUAGAAGAUGUCAUCUUGAAAAGAUAUUUUGGUGUAGUAAUCAUGUCAUUUGAAUUUUUAAAACUUUAAAGAGAAUGUCAAUCAAGUUUUUGGGUCGAUAAAAAAAGACAGAAACAUUAAGAAAAAGUUGCAAAGUUUCAAAUGGUGUAACUCUUUUUAUUUGAUCUAUAUAUCAGGUAACCAUGUAAAGAAAUUGCAUUGAAAAAUGGAUAUGGAUGUUGAAGUGGAAACACAUGCAGGCUGCAUAAUUCAAUAUUAAUAUCAUGUGUCCCACAUCCAAUAGAGGAAAAAGUUCCUCACAUUAUGUAUGUAUGUGCUUUUCUUAACCAAGUGGACAUGUUUUAGAAGUGUGAGGGCCAUUUGAGUUAAAAAUAGACAAAAUUUUAUACGGUGACCCCAUAAUCCCAAUGGGAUCCAACAAAACUGUUAUGUCUACAUGGAAAGGUGAUUAUGAUGUUUCACAUCAAAUAAGAAAAAAAUUUCUAAUAUAUAUAUAUAACUCCUCUUAAUCAAAUACAUGCAUUUUAAAGCCGUGAGAGUAUUUUAAGCCAAAAACAACGAAUAAUAUCUAUAUAAUUGGGAGUAGAUCAUUGCAUCAUGAUUCUAUGUGAUUUUCCAUAGAAUAUGAUUAAAUUAUUUUUUUUCAUGAUCAUUUUGUUGCCUUUUCUUUCCCCACCACACUCAAAUUUAAUUACGAAUCAUGUUAACAAGUUUGGAGUCUAAGAUAUUUAGGGGUUAUAGUUUUGAUAUGUAAAAAGGAGAUUUUUUGAAAGAAAGUCUGAGAGAGAUUAAGUUUGAUGAUAUAAUAUGUUUUCUUGAAUAAAUAACCCGAACAUGUUAUAGAUUCUUUGAAAAUCAUUUAGAAUAAACUUGCAAAUCUCCUUAAUUUGAUUCCAUCCGAGCAAUGUACAUGACUUCACCUUUUUUUUUUUUUGCUUUGUCUUGUUAUAUUUUUUAUUUUAUUUUAUUUAUUUUUUGAGCAAUUUAAGGGUUUUUUUUUCUUAUUUUGUUUAAGUAUUAAGGUUAUUUGAUAAAAUAAACUUAAAAUUUAUUUUAAAUCAUUAAUUAACAUAUUUAUCCUUAUAAAUUAUAAUUAGGGUAAAUAAUGUUAAGUAACAAUAGAGGUCAUAAAGUAGCAAAAAAGAUCAUUGAGGUAAUUAAAGCAAAUUGUAGUUAAAAAGUAAAAUAAAGAUGUAGACUUAAGAUUAAAUAAAUUAUUUUUACUUAUUACUUGAAGUUAUUUUUUACUUUAAGUUAUGUCAUUACGUUAUUUUAUCAAAUAUAAUUUAUUUAAUCACUUAAGUAAGUUAUUAAGUCACUUUAAGUUAUUAAAAUGGUUGAUCAAAAACCUACUUAAUUAUAACUCAAUGAUUAACUCUAAUAAACUUGUGUUCAAAGUUACUUUUAGUGUACAUGAGCGGGUGGUACUCUUUGUAAGAGAGAGAUGGUCUUGGUAGAGAGAUCAAGGGAAAAUGAAUUAAAACAAGUAAAAGAAUUCAUGAGUAGAUAAAUUGAGAGGUACUCUUUUGUUUGGUUAGUAGGAUUAGUUCAUUGAUUACUAGAAAAGUAUUUUUAGGUUAUUUUCCAAGAAAUCAAGUGGUCUUCACCAAACAACAUAAAAUCUCUCUGUUGUGGGUAUGUUGAGUUUUUAAUUGUGUUUUCUACUAUUCUUGAAUGUGUUCUGAUCUUGUCUUGGUAAAAUCCAUCAACAAAUAAGUAUUGCAACCCAAAGAUAACAAAUUUGAUAUUGAAAAACUACACAAUCAUUUGGAACUAUAUAUGGAGAAUAAAGAAGAUGGCUUUACUAGUUUAAAGAACUUGACAACCGUAACUUCGAUGUGGUUGAAAUUAAAGUAUUAUUGGCAAAUAGACCAUAUAUAACUAAAGUAAGAAUAUUAAUUAUUCAAGAUCCUAUUGAAGACUACAUUGUUGACUUCAACAAAAUGAUGUAUUAGAUCUUAAAAAUAUUGCAUUGAAAAUUGAAGACAUGGACCAAUCAAUAAUCCUCUUAAAUUCACUACUUCGGCUAUAUGAGCACCUUCCUGAUACCAUGAUCUAUGGUAAAGUCUUUAACCAUGAAAGAAAUGAAAGCUGCUCUAAAUUUCAAGGAAUUGAAGAAUAGAGAAUAUGGCUUAUGAGGGGUUUUGGGAAGUGUCUAAAACUCUUACUAAUAUCCAAUUAUAUAUUUGUAAAAAGAAUAUUUGCUAAGUUUAUAUGUAAUUGUAAUUAUAUUUAUUAUAGAAUAAGAAAAGUUAGUAAAAAUAUCUAUAUAAACAUUUUAGGAUAUGACGGAGAAAGUAUUAUGGGAUAGAGAUGGGUUUGUAAGAACUAUAAGUGGUGGAUACAUCCGGUGGAACAAAAGAGUUUCAUAGUUCAAGAUGGAGAUACAAAGAGUGAAAAAAUAUGGGAUAGUUUAGGACUCGAUAAUUAUAUCUAUUUUUAUUCUUUAUAACAUUUUCUAUCAUAUAGUGAAAUAUUUUUCUCUCAUCCUUAGAGGUAUGCAUGAUUAGCUAAAACAUGUUAAAACCCCAUAUACCUUUGUAUGUAAAUUAUUUUGUUUUUGUGUUUUUCCAUUAAGAUCUUCUCAAGCAUAACAAGGAGCUCACAACAAAACAAGAUCUUGUAAGAAAAAUUCCAAGGUGACUAGAUCAAGGAUAAGGUCCAAAUCUAAGAACAAAAAUACGCUUUCUCUAACAUAAAGAAUGUCAUUGCUUUGGAGAUGCUGACAUUGCAUUGUUGGUUUUUUUUUUUUUUUUUACUAUAAAAAUAUUGAUCAAGGAUGAGUUUCUUGGGAAACAACAAAGCAUGUCAUGUGAUUAGAAUAGGAAUUAUAAAAAUAAAGAUAACAAAUAAGGUUGGAGGAUAUAGCAGGAUGUAAGACAUACUUGAAUCAAAGAGAAAUAUAAUUUCUUUGAAAAUACAUUACUAUUAUUGUGACUUUAUAUUAUUCUUCAAUAUCUAAUAAAAUUAAAUUUUCAUAUUUUAAUAAAACUAGGAUACUAAAAUUAUUUCAUAAUUUAAUCAAUCACGUAAUAGAGUAAAGAUAAUAAAAUAAUUUUACUUAAUUAAGGAAAUAUUGUCUUAGUUUAAGAGUGUAUUUAGGAGUAAUUCUAGAAAACGUUUCUAGCAUUUUAACACUUAAAUGAUGAAAAUUUUCAAAUAUUAAAAAUAUUAAAAAAGUUGUCUAGAAUCAUUACCAAAUGAGUUCUAAUUAAGAUUCCAACAUUAUCUACGGAACUAAUGACAAGACUUGAAUAUUAAUGAAGUAUAAUCCUUAGAAGUCACUAUAUGUAUUGUUUAAAAAAAAUUAUCAGUUGCUAAUUAAUAGAGUGGACUAGUCAGUUGCUAAUUAAUAGAGUGGACUAGUUAAACUGGAUAAGAGGGGAAUUUUGUAUAGGAAACACAACUAAAAAUAUUUUCUCCUAAAGUUAUUUUGAAGAUAUCAAUCUAUGAUUUAUUUUGUUGUUCAUCCAGAAGUACCUACCAGUAUAAUUAGCAUAGGAUUUAGAAAAUUAUUGGCUACUAUUUACACUUACUAGUAAUAUUAGAGUUUGAAAGGUUUUGGAAUGUUCAAACAAAUAUUGUUUACUAUUUUGUUUAAGUUUAUUCUUGUUCCUAACAAUUUAUUCGAUAUUGGAUAUCUAAUUUUUAAUAACCAUAUGUAGAAUAUUUUAGCUCUUACACUCUUUCCUUUUGAUGACUAAUGACACUCAUAAUAGGUAACCUGAUGUGAUUAAUUUUAACAAGUUGUCCCACUAAAUGGAAUUUGAUAUAGAAUUUUUAUUUGACAUAAAAAAUAUAAUUAGUGAUAUACCUCAUCUUCAAUUUUCUUGGUAUUCUUUUAUGUAUAAUUUAAUUUUCAUUUAAGAAAUGAUAUAUAUAUAUAUAUAUAUAUAUAUAUAUAUAUAUAUAUUUUCUUUAUUGUUCUAAGUCAUUUCUUUUUUCUUUUUUUUUUUUUUUUUUUGUAUUAAUCAAUUCGAGAUAUAAAAAGUUUCAAUGCAAAAAAUCAAAUAUUUUGUCCAAAUAGAUAUUAAUUGAAGAAGUAUUUAUUUAUUAAGUAUUUUUAAAACAAUAUUAAUAUACAAUCUAAUCCAACAUUUAAUAGAUAAAAUAAUCUUAUAUUAUUUAAUAAUACAAAAUAAUAGAUAUUACUGGUAAAUAUUUUAUUAUAAUUAUAUAUUAAUAUUAUUAUUAAAAAUAAAAAUAUCUGGUAGACAACAAAUUGUGUACAAAUUUCCAAAUGAUGUUGAUAUAUAUAUAUAUAUAUAUAUCUAUAGCCACCGAGUUGAUAUCUUUUUUUUUUUUUUUGGUUAAGUUAGUUUAUCUUGUUAUGAACAAAUAUGAAUUUAUAUAGAAAAGGUUACUAAGUGAAGAUUGAAUUUGGAUUAAACUUGAUAAUUUUAGGCAUAGUUAUUGAUUUGUAAAUAAUAAGGGUUCCGGAAAACUCUUGUAUAUGUUUCUUGGACAUUUAGUGACUAUAAUAUUAUUAGUUUCAUGUAAUAUUUGUGAAAAAGUUUUUCAUCAAUAUUUCAUCUUCCACAUUUUCAUCAUUCGUAUAAUGUUUUUGUCAUUUUUUUUUAGAAGGAAUGGAUGGGAUGAGGAAAAUAGAAAAAAGAUUUUAUAAAUGAAUGCAUAUGCCCUAUAACCAAAAGAUCCAUAGAUUCUUAAUUCAAAUAUGUGGAAAGUAAGUUAUUGACAAAUUAUUUUUGCAUCUUCAACCAAUAAUCCAAGCAUUGAUGUUACAACUAUUCAAUUAAAGUGAAAAAUUGGGAUUAAAAGAAUAAUGCUAUAUUAUGGAGUCGAAAAACCUAAAAUUCAAUACAAACAAUUUCUGAUCACCUAUUGACAUUUUAUAUGUUGAGUUAACUUUUUGUUGAUCUUAAUUAUAACAUGUCAUAAAUUAUUCAAAGAUUUGAUCUUCAAUGAUAAUGCCAUGUGAUUUUUCUAUUCUACCAAAAUGCAACUUUUCAGUAUAAUAGAGAAAAGUGAUAACCAAUUAAAAAUAAGAAACAUGCAUAGGAAACAUUCUCUUUCAUUGAAGCACAAAACCCAUUGGCUACUUAUGUAAUCCAUCCCUAUGGAUUCGCUCGUCCAUCAAUCUUCUAUGUUGUAGAGAGUAAAAAAGCAUUUUCACUACAUUUGGUCGUCAUAAAAUGAAAAUGAAAGGAAAAGAAAAUAAAGAGAGAAAAAAAAUUGAAGGAAAGAUAAUAUGAAUAAAAUGAAAAAUAUAUUUAAAAUCAAUAAAUUAUUUUUUAUAUAUUUUCUUAAAUUUAUUUCAUUUUUUUAAUUACAUCUUUUAUGUAAAGAUUAAAUAAUUUUAAAAUGUAUAAUUUAUAAUUAUUUAUAAUUAUAUUUGAUUUCUUUUAUAUUUUUAAUGAUAAAACUAAAUAUAAUAAAAUCAUUUUCCCAAGCAUUAAUAUUUUUUUCUUUCCUUAGUCUAAAAUGCUAUAUUUUGCAACCUAGAGGAAGAUAUGAAGAAAUUGAAUAUAAUGCAUUUUCACACAGAAGAAAGGGUUAAGGGAUCCAGCAACCCAAAAGCUUAUUUUCAAUGUUGAGCACCUUUCAAGUUUGCCUCGCCAACUUGUUAAAUUUUUUUGGUAGUACUUUCCAUGGUUACUUAAGCACCAUGUAACUAAUUUAUUAUUCCAAAAUCUUAUUUAUAGUUUUACAAUAUCCAUAUUGACACUAAUCACCCAUAAUUUAUAGUGUAUGAUUAUUCCUAAAGCAAAUUUGAUAGUUCAAGAAGAAAAAACUUAGAGAUAUGGAGAGAAAAAGAGGUGUAGAGCACCUUUUUGAGAGAAAACCGAAGAAAUAAAAAACUAAAAAAAUUGAACCACACAAUAGCACUAGUAAGUGCUCUGUUUCUUAUAUAUAGAAAUUUAAAGCUUAGUUACAAAUAACUAACAACCUUCUAAUUACUUACAAACAACUAAUAGCCUGCUAACUACUUAAUAACUCUAAUUGACAUCCCCCUUCAAGGACAAAGGGCAAGAAAGAACUAUGAGUUUGCUUCAAAGAUGAAGGAAAUGCUGAGUGGAGAGAGCUUUGGUCAAGAUAUCAGCAACCUGGUCUUCAAAUGGAAAAAAUUGAACAUCAAGAGUUUUCUGCAAGAAUCAUUCCUGAAUAAAAUGUUAAUCAAUUUCCACAUGUUUAGCACGAUAAUGAAUGGUAGGAUUUGCAGUCAAAUAAGCAGUACUAGGAUUAUCACAGUAAAUAACAAGAGACUAAAAUAGGAGAACAAAGAACUCUUUAAGUAGGAACUGGAUCUAAGUGAGUUCGAUCGUUGCAUUGGCCAAGCCCUUAUACUCAGACUCGGUUCUAGAGUAAGAAACCACCUUUUGUUUAGAAGUUGACCAAGAGACUAGAUUACCACCAAAAAAUAUAUAGUAGCCACUAGUGCUAUGUCUAUCAUCAGGGCAAGAUAACCGAUUGACAUUUGUAUAGGCAACAAGAUCGAGUAAGGAAAAUGGUUGGAAAGAAAGCCCAUAAAACAACAAACUUUUAAGAUAACAAAAAAUACGUUUCACAGCUUGAAGAUGAGUAGAGAUUGAAGCAUGCAUAAAUUGGCAAAGCUUAUUAAUAGUAUAAGUAAUGUCUGGUCUAGUGAUUGUGCACACUGAAGGGCACCCAUAAGACUUCGAUACAAAGUAGGAUCUUCUAAUCUAGUACCAUCAACUAUAGAUAGAACAUGACCGGCCAGCAACCAUUGGAGAAGCCAUGGCCUUUGAUUCAAACAAACUAGCACACUGAAAAAAAAAAAAUCACUAAUAUAUCUAGCUUGGCUGAAAUACAAAGAAGAACUAGAACUAAAUACCUUUAUUCCAAGAAAAAAAUUGAGAGGACCAAGAUCCUUAAGAGCAAAGCAAGAGUUUAAGGAGGAUAUAAGUUGUUCAAUGAGCAAGGAAUUUGAACUAGUGACAAUAAUAUCAUCAACAUAAACCAAGAUAACAAGCACCAUAGAAUUGCUAUAGUAAACAAACAUUGAAGUGUCUACUUGAGAUAAGGAAAACCCCCAUUUAACAAAGGUAGAACUAGUUUUGUGAACCAAGCCUAUGUUGCUUGCUUUAAGCCAUAUAAUGCCUUGAUAAGUUUACAAACAAAGUUGGGCUUAAAAGGAUCUACAAAACCUACUCAUAUAAAUCACCAUUAAGAAAGGCAUUAUGAACAUCAAGUUGUCUAAUAGUCCAAUUUCUACUAAAUGCCAAAGAGAGAACCACACAAAUAGUAGCAGGUUUAACUACAAGAUUGAACGUUUCAAAGUAAUCAAAACCGUGAGUUUGAUGAAAUCCUUUCGUCACCAAACAUGCAUUAUAACGAUCAAUAAUUUAAACUUCUAUUUAUAAAUCCAAUGACAUCUAAUGAUAUUCUGACUAGACAAAGGAGGAACUAGGACCCAUAUUUUAUUCCUCAUAAGAGCUUCAAAUUCAAGUUGCAUAGUUUGCUGCCAUUCAAGGACUUUAGCAGCUUCCUUAAAGGAAUUCAAUUCACAAGGUGGAAGAAAAAUAGUCUUAGUAGGGGACAAAAAUAACUUGGGUUAGAAAAUGCCAUUUUUGGCACGUGUUGUCAUGGAAUGACAAGGAGUAGGAACAGGAGAGGAAAGGGGUUGAGCUGUUGGAAUAGUUGCAACCUCAAAAUAAGAAAUUGACACAUUAGAAUCAGACAUUAGAACCAACUCUAAAGGUGGACUUAAUGGGGGAGGCAAGAGGGAAGAUAUUAGAGAAGAUGGUACUGCCAAAGGAAUGACACAAUGAGAGGGGAAAACGAAGCAAAGAGGUAGAACUGUGGAAGGCUUAGCAAAUGUAAAAUCUAGUUCAUAAAAAAUAACAUGUCAUGAUAUAUGUAUUUUACUAAUGGACAUGUUUAAACAAAGAUAUCCCUUAUGCUUAGAACUAUAGCCAAUAAAGGUUCCUUUAAUAGAUCGAUAUGAAAGUUUAUGACGAUUAAAAGAUGUAGAAAAUGAUAACAAGUGCAACCAUAGACAUGAAGAAAAUAAUAAUUUGGUAGACAAUGGUAAAGAGUUUUAUAUGGAGAAGAAAAAUUCAACAUAGAGGUAGGAAUCCUAUUAAUCAAAUAUAAGGCAGAUUAGAAAGCAAAAGGCCAACAUUUAAGUGGAAUAGAAGCAUGAGCAAGCAAGGAAAGACCUAAUUCAACCACAUGUCUAUGUUUUCUCUCCACACCACCAUUUUGUUGAGAAGUAGAUGGACAAGAUAGUCUAUGUUGAAUCCCAAAUUCACAUAAAGUAUUAGUAAAGACUUGAAACUCCCAUCCCAAAUCAGUUUGAAACACUCUAACUUUAGUAUCAAAUUAAGUCUUAACCAUCACUUUAAAUUGAAGAAAAGUAAACAUAACUUGAUCUUUAGAAGCUAGUAGAUACAACCAAGAGAAUCUUGUAUGGUCAUCCACAAAAAGUACAAAGUAUCUUGCACAAACAAUAGGGGAAAGACCCCAUAGAUCAUAAUGUACAUGAGCAAAAGGUUGAUAGGCUCUAAAUUCAGACAAAGUAAAAGGUAAGCGAUGACUCUUUUCCAUUUGACAAGGUUCAAAAAUGCCUGUCCAAUGUUCUGAGGGCAAACUACAAGCACUCAGAAUUUUAUUGACUAUUUUAUGUAUAGGAUGACCUAACUUGAAAUGCCAUAGAACUGCCUUAUUAGGAAGUUGUAAUGCAAAUGACAUACAUGGGGCCUUAGUUUCCAAGCUUGUUCUUCCAACAAAUUUAUUACCAUCAGAAUCUUGAUAUCUUUUACCAAGUGCUAAAGACGAUAGUAUGUAUAAACCGUGGUUAAGGUUGCCUUGGAGAAGAGCCUUCUUCGAAGCUUGAUCCUUUACCACAAAUCCAUUAGUAAAGAAUCCCAUAGUAACAUUAUUGUCAGUACACAACCUACUCACACUUAUCAUAUGGUUGUAAGUUGUGGAACAUGUAAAAUAUUAUUUAUAUUUAAAGACCGAGAAGCUGACAAAAUAGUAGAGUGUCCAAUAUUUGAGAUAUUUAAGCAAUUACCAUUUCCAAUGACGAUUGUGUCUGAAACAUCAAAUGGAGUAUGUGCAUUCAAGUUAUUGAGAUGUGGAGUUAGGUGAUGUGUAGCUCCAGUAUCCAUGUACCAGUUUCCACAAUGGUCGGAGUUGCAACCAUUGCAGUUAUGUGCAUUCAACUAUGUUUGGUUCCCAUAAAAUUUGAGGGAAAAUACAAUGCAAAGAAAAUAAAGAGAAAAAAUAGAAUGAAGGAAAAAAAUGAAGAAAAAUAAAAAUAUAUUUAUAAUAAAUAAAUUAUUUUUAUAUACUUGUAGACUCUCCAUUUUGUCCCUUUAACACAUGUCUUUAAGUUCACUUCCAGUGUUCCAUAGUGUUUCUUUGAUGGCCCAUUACUACUCAUGUAGUUUACCUCUUCUGAGCCACUUUGGAGACUUUGGUUGAGGGGUUUAUCCGGCUCCACAUUAUGACCUUGGUUGCCCUUCAAGUUUAGAUUAGGCUUCACUUAGGUGUACUUAAUGGUUAGACUUAGUUAAGUCCACCUAGUCUCACCCUAGACACGUAUUAGGUAUACCCGGUCCAUUAGACACCCUAGGCUUAUUAGGCACCUUAGGCCCACCUAGGUCACUUAAGCUCAUUUAGACACCUAGAGCCCAUCUAAGCCCACUUAGACCCACUUAAGCCCACUUAGGCCGGCUUAAGCCCACUUGGCCCAUUAGAUAUUCUUAGCGUGACUUGCAUAGUUGCAUAGCUUGUGUGGCUCAAUUUAUUUAUUUAUUUAUUUAUUUUUAUUUUUUAUUAUUAUCAAUCACUUUUAUUUGAUCAUUUAUUAUGUUUUUAUUUAUUUAUUUAUUUUAUUUAAUAAUUUGAAAUUUUUAUGGAAGAAGUCUACCAUUGGAGAAGUUUUUGAAAAUGGUAAGACUCUUUAAAUGAUAUGCAUGGAUUGUAGGUGAUGUGCAUGGAUUGGUAUUGUUUGAAAUUUAAAAAAAGAGUUUUUCCCAUGCAUAAGAUAAAAUUUGGAGAGAGGAAGACUCCUCACGUAGAAGGACUUUGAUUUGCUAUAAAAAGCUCUGACAUAUGGGUUUUUGAAAUGGGAAAAAAAAAAAGAGAUUCGGAGAUUGUAUUGAGAGAUAUAAAAUCAAGGGAAGAAAUAUAGGAAAUUGGGGAGAUUGUUUCUUUUCAGAAAGAGAGAGCGAGUUUUCAUAGGCGAAGGGAAGGAAAUGAGGAGAAGAGGGUGGAGACCAGAAGACGAAGCCAAGAGAGAGAGGAAGGAUAAAGGAAAUUGAUCGGCCUAUUUUCGUUUUGGAGGUAAGUCCUUCAUUAUAAAACAUAUGUUCCCUCAUAUUCUUUUUUUUGUCUAUUAUUAUCAGGAUUUGUUUGAUGAUUGAAUGCAACUUUCAAAGGCCAUGUGACUGGUGUUGAUUUUGGAUUGUUAUUAGAUUUGUCAUAGUUUGUGUUUCUUCCAUUGCUUUCUGUUUAUAUUAAAGAAUGAUCCGACUUUGUUAGUUCCAUUGUAAUAUCUAGAAGUUCCUUCUUCUUUCUUCCAUAUUCAAGCCUGUUGAAAGGGCAUGUAUGAUUGCCCAUCUACGUGUUUCCCUUCCCCUUGCCAUCCCUUUGCUAUAUUUUAUCGCCUUUGUACAUGGUUUGUGCGUCGGGUUGCAAAAACGUCUUAUCAUUUGCAAUGAUUAGCACCCGAGCCAUCCUCAUUUGGCUGAUCAAUGUCACUAGGGAAGUUCUUGGAGGGCGGUUGCUGUUCUUGAUAUUACAAGUGGUAUGGUGGUAUUUGUGGGUUUUGUUGAGGGCAUUUGGGUUCAGAUCAAAACUGCCCAUCUGAGGUCCUGGAUGAAAGAAUCAAUCAUGUGUCUGUUAUCUAUCUCAAUUAUCUAUAAGAUAGACAAGCGUCCUUAUUAGCAACAGGUGAAAGAACGGGUAUGCAGAUAGAUCUAAGCCAAGUUGGAGAGUGGUGUCGAACACGCGCUUGAUGAAGGAAACAUUGAGGUUCUUGGAUAUAAGCAUGGGUCCUACCAUCAGAUCUGAUGUGACAACCAGUAUGUUGUGUCACAAGGAAGAAAUAUUUGAACCAAUACUUCUCUGCAUGGCCAUGCGAAUUCCGAGCAUAUAUACUCCUCGAUUGGGACGACGUUCAUAAUGUUGACCACGUGUGAACUAUUUUUUGAAGGUGGGAAUUUUGCGAAUUCAUUUCAGCGGCCAAUUUUGUGUGUAUUUGAUCAGACUUUGAGCUAUCAGUUGGAAUCCAGCAUGACUUUAGUUAUCGGCCGCUCGUUCAUGAUGUGCUGGGUUUGAAGCUUAAUAGGUUAGAGUAUGGGGCAGACCUCUAGCACUGCUAGGUUUGCCUGACACAGGUGGACAGAUUGUUUAUAUGCUGGAUCAAGUGCGUGCCUUAGAAAAUGAGAUGCUUCUUAAGAUACAAAAGCAAAGACUUGAUGUCAUCCCUAAAAUUCUCAUAGUUACCCGACUUAUACCUGAUGCAAAGGGGACCACGCGCAAUUAGAGACUUGAAAGAAUCAGUGGUACAUAACAUACACAUAUUUUUUGAGUGACUUUUAGAACAGUAAAUAGUAUUCUGCAGAAAUGGAUCUCAAGGUUUGAUGUAUGGCCAUAUCUGGAAACCUUUGCAGAGGAUGCAUCAAAUGAAAUUGCUGCCCAGCUACAGGGAGUUCCAGAUCUGAUCAUUGGCAACUAUAGUGAUGGGAAUCUUGUUGCAUCUUUAUUAUCUUAUAAGCUGGGAAUUACGCAGUGCAAUAUUGCUCAUGCAAUGGAGAAAACAAAAUAUCCAGAGUCUGAUAUAUAUUGGAGAAAAUUUGAGGAUAAGUACCAUUUCUCAAGCCAAUUUACUGCUGAUCUAAUUGCAAUGAACAAUGCAGAUUCUAUAAUCACCAGUACAUACCAAGAGAUUGCCGGAAGCAAGAAUCAUGUUGGACAGUAUGAGAGCCGCACAACCUUCACUCUUCUAGGGCUGCACCGAGUUGUUCAUGGCAUUGAUUUUUUAUCCCAAGUUUAAUAUCAUAUCUCUAGAAGCAGACAUGCCCAUAUACUUCUCAUACUCAGAAAAGGAGAUGGUUGAAAGUCACAUGCAGAAACUGGUCCAUAUGGAGAACUUGAAAAUAUGCACAUAUUCCUUUUUGAUCCUUGCUGCCAGUUUUCACUCAACCACUGACCCUUUAAUUUCAAAAUUCAGUUCGGAAACUUUAGGAUAUCUGUAAAAAAUUUACAAAACUUUUAUGACUUUCUUAACUUUUUGAACUUGAAUUUAAAGUUUUGUUUGAGUUAGAAAACCAUUCUGGAAUAGAAGAUAUAAACAAGUCUUUAGGGGUGCUCCAUUUUCACCCAGUUCUGGAUACCCGGGAUCAUUUUGCAAAAAUAAAAUACCAAACGAAUUUUUAAAUUUGAUUCAAUAUUUUUACUCAAUUCUAGGCUUCUUGAAAUUGAUCUAAGGUAUAUAAAAUAUUAAAAAAUAUGCCUUUUUGAGGGAGAAAUGAAUUUUUAAAAUUGUACCUACCGUGAAUGCUAGAGUCUGUACAUCUAAUUAGAUUUAGUGUUUUAAAAAUAUUUUUGAGUACUAUCCAACCCUGAAUUUAUUUUUUAUAUGAUAUAGAUACUUUGAAAUAUGAGUAUGAUUAUUUUUUUAUGAUUUUAUUUGAUAAUUUAUUAUUUUAAAAAAAAUUCAUUUAUGCAUGUCACUUUUCCUUAUCUAAUCUGGACUUUGUAGAACCUUUAGAUGUCUUUGCUGUAAUCUAUCCUUUGAAUGAGUGUUUGGCUUUUGGUAUGUUGAUCUAGAUGUGUAGGAAUUGUCUCUUGAAAUUUUUUUGUAUUUAAAUUCCACUCUAAGCCAUUUUUUUAGAAAUUGUUUUGUGAUGCUUCCUUUUCUAACUACAUGUUGAUGGUUUUAUACUUUACUCAAAAUUUUUAUAUUUUUGAAGUUAUUUGAUUUAUCUUAGCUCAAUUUUGGCUUUGACACUGUGCAUUAGACAUAGUGGAUAUUUUAUAUAAUUUAUUCUUGCCCUAACCACUCUAGCAUUUUUCGAGGAAUCUUAUAAAAUAUACUUGCUAUCUAGGUACAUUCUCUAUCCUCUAAUUCCAAAAUUCUAUGAAAAUGCAUAUUAUCAUGAGCUAUAUCCAUGUUUUGAUUUAAUCCUUGGGUGCUUAGAUGUAUGUUUGACUUGCUUGGAUAAAAUGCAUGUUGUGUGUUAUAUCUCUAUACUAACUUUGAUGUCUUAUGAACGCUUGAGAGGCAGUCCAGGUACAUACCCUAACUUUCUUUUAUUGUGAUUUGAUCUUGUUUGGCAUGCUAUUUUUUGGAAUCACCUAGCCUACUUACGUACCUAUAAUUAACCAAUUAAUUGCCACAUUUCCCUCAAAUUAGUUAGUAGAGACCUUUAUAGGGCUUAGAGGGGUGCUACCUUUUAGAGGUACCUUCCCAAUAGGUAACCUGAUCCCCAGACCUAGACUCGGGUUUUUCAAAGGCAUGCUUUUUCCAAAAUUUAUGGAGUCACUUUUUAGGGUUUUCUUUCUUGUUUUAUUUUCCCUUUAAAAUAAAAAUAAAAUAAGUGGCGACUCCAACUUUUCCAAAAAUUAUUUUUUCACAAAUAAAAGCGAGUCUCGCCGAUCGAGUGAGGACACACGUGAAAAAUACGAGUCCACAAAUUGGCGACUCCCCUAGGGAUUUUGAGGAUCAAGCUUGAACACUAGUUGAGGAAAAUGAGGCGUUUAAUUGGUCGACUAGAGGGUGCCUCAAUUUUUUUUAGGCAAGGUGAUUUGGUUUGCAUGCUUGAUUUGCUUGCUAUCUUAACAUGUUUGAUUGCCUUACAUGACCACUUGAUUGUUUGCUCACUCCAGCAUGAUUCACUCCCACAUAUGAUAGAUAGCACUUUGUUUGUAUGAUAUCUAUCUAUUUGAUAUGACUGUUUGUUGCAUGAUGACCCUUACUUCUACAUGAUUGUAUGAUUGCUUGUCUUUGUUCACUAUCUCACUUUAGACCUUAGGUUUUUCGGAUGCACCCGCAUCCUUCACUAUGCACUUCAGAUUAUCCCUAAGUGUUGAGAGAUGGGAGAUCCUUCAUCAUUAGGAAACCCCCUAGGAAAGCGAGGAAGUGCAUGUGUGGAGGUGAUUGCCACUUUGCAUGGAAGCACCCCGUCUCCUUGGAAGCGUGCAAAGGGUUGUGUACCACCGGAGGGUACGAUCAUUUCUGCUAGGGAUCAUUUAACCCACCCAUUUUGUCUCCUUGGUUUCGCAUCUUCAGAUUUUGGUUCAUCCACUUAGACAGUCAGAGUGUAUGAUAGCACCAAGAGAGAGGUUAUGGGUACCUUGGUGAUUGAUUUGCAGAUUGGUCCAACCACAUUUUCUACUUUGUUCCAGGUUUUGAGGAUUCCUACAUCCUUUAACCUGCUACUAGGCCAACCUUGGAUUCAUAAAGCUAGAGUUAUUCCUUCUUCCCUUCAUCAGAAGGUGAAGUUCAUUCAUGAUGGGCAGGUUAUCACGGUACAGUCUACUAGAGAUAUGUUUGUUUCUUCUGAGCUAGUACUUCAGAUCAGUCACAAUGAGGAUGACAUGUUUUUUACUAGGUUUACUUUUGAUAAGAUACAGACUCUUGAAAUUGAGGAUUUUUGCAGAGAUUUUGUAGCUAUGUCGUUUGAUCAGCAUAGCAACACAGUGGCACAGUGUUUCUUGAUAUGAUGAAGGGUAUGACUUUCUUACUUGGUAUGGGGUUAGGAUGACGUCAGCAAGGAUCCAGUGAGUUUAUAGCUGCUAUUGACCAUGAUACUACAUUUGGACUUGGGUUCAUUCCUACUGAGGCCGAUUACCGAUAUAUGGCGCGAUUGCGCAAGGAGAGAGUUAUGGCCCGUUUGUCUCACACACCAUUUGAUUAUCCUAUUCGACCCUAUAUGAUGAGUUUGGCUGACUAUAUUUGUCAGAUGAUCAAAUAUUCAACCUCGUGUAGAGGCGAUUGAUAGUCUGGUUCAUACAGAUAGAGAUAUUGAGCUUCAGCAUCUAUUUCACCAGUUACAGUUGAGUGAUGGGGCUCCUGGCACUUCUGUUUCUGUGGCGAUUGCUCCUCUGUCUUCAGAUCGAGCUAGUUUAUUGUCCCUAUGCUUCUCAGAGGAGGUUACUGAUGAUGGAGUUGUCGUUGAUCCCACUGAGAUGAUUGAUGGAGUUGUUCCUCAUGAUGAGUAUAGAGAUGAGAUGGACAUGAUGACCGUGAGCCAGAUUACCAGCAUUGUUCAACUUUAGCCUGUUUCACCAUUCGAUAUGUUUAGGGCGUCUACUACUGAGGUUGCUGAGGAGACCCAGACUAUUCCUGCUCCAGAGCUUUUAGAGGAUGAUGGUAGUUUAUUUGAGGGCACUAUUGGCCGAGUUGAGGGAGCGUCCGAUCUUAUGGACCCACUUAUUUCCUUUGAUGUUUUAUCGGGAUUUGUCUCUCGCUCUGACGAUGUUUCUAUUGCUUCAUUUAUGGAUUUGAGUAUUUUUUUAGUAUUCGCCUAUCUCUUAUGAUAGUAUCUCUAUAUCUGCACCCCACUCACCCACUCAACAGAUAUUUGAUAUAGAUGAUGAGAUUGUACAGCUUGAUUCAGAUAGAGACUAUUUUGAUCAUGACUCAGAUUCCAUAGAUGUGAGAGCUUCACCUACUACAAGGGAUGUUGAGACUAUUGAUUUUGGCACAGAGGAUCAACCUAGAGAGUUGAAGAUUGGUUCACCCUUAUCUAAAGAUGAGAGGUAUGGACUUAAUCAUUUACUCAGGUCGUACUUGGAUGUCUUUGCAUGGUCUUAUGAGGACAUUCCUGGUCUCGAUCCCUCUAUAGUCCAGCACCAUUUGCCUGUCCUACCACAUGCUAGACUGGUUAAGCAGAAAUUGAGGCGAUUGCAUCCACGUUGGAGUCUAAAGGGGAAAGAGAAGAUUCUGAAACAACUCAGUGUUGGAUUUGUAUAAGUGGUUGAGUAUCCAGAGUGGUUAGCUAAUGUCAUCCCUGUUCCCAAAAAGGACGACAAAGUUAGAGUAUGUGUUGACUUCAAAGACCUUAAUAAAGCCAGCACUAAAGAUGACUUUCCUCUUCCACACAUUGAUUUGUUGGUCGAUAGCACCGCAGGCCAUUCGAUGUUGUCUUUCAUGGAUGGGUUUUCAAGGUAUAAUUAGAUUUUGAUGGCUCCAUAGGAUAUAGAGAAGACAACCUUUAUUACUGAGUGAGGUACUUACUGUUACAGGGUUAUGCCAUUUGGGUUGAAGAAUGUAGGAGCCACUUAUCAGAGGACCGCUACUACCUUGUUUCACGACAUGAUGCAUAGAGAUGUUGAAGUAUACAUGGAUGAUAUGAUUGUGAAAUCCCAAAGCAGAGCAAAUCACCUAGUAGCUCUAAAAAUAUUCUUUUAGAGGAUCCGAAAAUUUCGAUUGGGGUUGAAUCCCAAGAAGUACACCUUUGGAGUGACAUCUAGGAAAUUGUUGAGGCAUAUGGUUAGUGAGCAAGGCAUAGAGGUCGACCCAGAUAAGAUCAAAGCCAUACUUGGCAUGCCUAUGCCGAGGAUUGAGAAAGAAAUUAGAGGUUUUUUGGGCAGAUUAUAGUACAUUAGUCGAUUCAUAGCCAGAUUGACAAACAUAUGUGAGUCUAUCUUUCGUCUUUUGAGGAAGAACCAGCCAACAGUUUGGAAUAAUAAUUGUCAUCUUGCAUUUGAGAAGAUUAAGGAGUAUUUGCUUUCUCCUCUUGUUUUAGUGCCUCCCAUGCUGGGACGUCCACUUCUUUUCUAUUUGUCAGCUUCAGACAUGGCCUUGAGAUGUAUGCUAGCUCAGCUUGAUGACUUAGGGAAUGAGCGAGUUAUUUACUAUUUGAGUAAGAGGAUAUUGGAGUAUGAGAUGAGAUGUUAUGAUGGAGCACCUUUUCUUGGUACUAGUUUGGGCUACCAUGAGAUUGAGGCAUUACAUGACAGAGUAUUUAGUGCAUUUGAUAUCUCGCUUAGACCCGUUGAGAUACUUAUUUGACAGACCUGCAUUGACUGGUAGACUGAUGAGAAGUCUUGUACUUUUGAUAGAGUUCGAUAUUCAAUAUGUUUCUCAAAAGUCCAUUAAGGGAAGCAUUGUCGCCGAUCACUUAGCUCCGCUACCAACAUCCGAGAAUAGAAACAGUUGAUGAUGAUUUUCUAGAUAAGGAGUUUGUUGCUAUGACCAGCUUAUCAGGAUGGUGCAUGUACUUCGAUGGUGCAACCAAUCAGUUAGGGUAUGGGAUAGGUGUUCUAUUGGUAUCCCCUCAGGGUGAUCAUAUUCCAAGGUUCGUUCGUUUGGCAUUCUCUGAUCAACAUCUUGCCAUGAAUAACAUAGUUGAGUAUGAGGCUUGUAUCCUUGGUUUAAAGACUGCAUUGGAGCUUGGCAUUAGACAGAUGGAGGUAUUUGGUGAGUCCAAUUUAGUACUUAGACAGAUUCAAGGAGAUUGGAAGACUAGGGAUGUAAAGCUUAGGUCGUAUCAAGCUUAUUUAGAGUUUCUGGUUAAGAGAUUUGAUGACUUGAGAUAUGUUCAUCUGCCUAAAGUGUAGAAUUGGUUUGUCGACGCCUUAGCUACCCUAGCUUCUUCUGUAGACAUUUCAAUUGAUAUAGUUUUACGUCCAUUACUGAUUGAGUUGAGGUCUACACCUGCCUACUGUUAUUUGAUUGGAGAGACAAAAGUCCAAUAUGAUCUACCUUGGUAUCAUGACAUUUAUCGGUUUCUCAAAUCUGGCACAUACCCUGAGGUAGCCACUGCCAAGGAUCAUAGAGCACUGAGGCAUUCGACCACUAGAUUUGUGAUUUGUGGAGAGACUCUAUAUAGGCGAUCAACUAAUGGUAUGCUUCUAUUAUGUUUAGAUCGAGCCUCUAUAGAUCAAGUGAUGAGAGAGGUUCAUGCAGGAGUUUGUGGUCUACACAUGGAAGGACACAUACUAGCUCGUAAGAUUAUGAGGACAGGUUAUUUUUGGUUGACUAUGGAGACAAAUUGUUGUCAAUUUGUUCAAAAAUGCCCAGAGUGUCAGAUUCAUGGUGAUCUCAUACACGCACCAUCAUCAGAGUUACACGCUUUGACCUCGCCAUGACCAUUUUCAUGAGUUCAUCCUAGUCGCCAUAGAUUAUUUCACCAAGUGGGUAGAGGCUGCAUCAUAUGCGAGGUUGACAUCUGUUAGAGUUGUCAGUUUCAUUAGGUCACACAUCAUUUACCGCUAUGGGGUUCCUCAUUCAGAUAGAGGGGUGCACUUUCAAGCUGAGGUAGAUACUUUGUUGCAGAAGUAUGGAAUUUGACAUCAUAGAUCUUCAGAAUAUAGGCCACAGACCAAUGGGAUAGUAGAGGUUGCAAAUAAGAAUAUUAAGCUGAUUUUGAGAAAGAUGUUUGAGACUUCUCGAGAUUGGUCAGAGAAACUCCCUUUUUCAUUGUGGGCAUAUCGUGCCUCUUUUUGUACCUCUACAAGAGCUACACUUUAGUCUCUAGUGUAUGGUAUGGAGGUUGUUUUGUCAGUCGAGAUAGAGAUGGGUUCAUUGAGAGUAACCCUUGAGCAACGGAUUUCUGAGAUAGAGUGGGCUCAGGCUCAAUUUGAUCUAUUUAACCUUUUAGAUGAGAAGAGAUUGAGAGCAGCAGAUCACGUUCAAGCCUACUAGAGAAAGAUGGCUCAUGUCUUCAGGAAGGGUUAAGCCUAGACCAUUACAGAAAGGGGAUUUAGUUUUGAGGAUUCUCAGAGGUAUGGUUGGAGACCCUAGAGGAAAGUUCAGACCUAGUUGGAGUGGGCCUUAUGUUAUUGGAGAGUUAACUCCAGAAGAGGCUGCAUGGUUGACCGACUUAGAUGGAAAACCAGUUUUUAGAGCCUACCAAUGUGGAUCAACUAAAGAAGUAUUAUGUUUGAGAUUAUGGUCGUAGGAUGGGUGGCCAUCAUUUCGGUUAGCUUUACACUUUAUCACUUCUAUCUAUAUAUUAGACCGUUGCUAACCUAUCGAGCCUCAUGUGUUAUGUUAUAGCCUUUUUAUUUUCUAUAACCCUGCUUAUCAUUUCUAUACCCGAGUUGGGGCCCUUUGAUGUAUAGUUAUGAUUUGCUAGGAAAGUCUCAUGAGAUUUGGACUUAUAGGCUUAUCUUCCUCAUCCAUUGCUAUUAUCACCUCACCACUCUAUCUGUUAUAUUCCAUUAUUUUCACAUUGUCAUCUCGAUCCAGACUUUUACCAUUGGUUGCUAUAUUUCACAUUUUCUUCACCUGGAAUGAUAAUUCUUCACAUAUUGGUGCAUAUAGGGUAGUCAUAUCACUCUCUUCAUUCCAUCAUUUGGCAUUGAUUCAGAGACUUUAGCUUGAGAGGUUGUCUCAUGGGAUAGGGUUUCGUGUGUUCAUCAAUGAUUUGAGAGGGUUUAUUCAUUCCUUGUAAUUUCUCAUUGGAGUAUGAUUUAUUGAUGACCAGGGUAUGCAUAUGCAAAAAAAAAAAAAUGAAAAAAAUGAUGAAAAAAAAAACGUAGUGAUAUGUUUGUGCUUGAUAUCCUACUCCAUUGUGCAUGUUUUGUUAUUUGAGGGUUGUUUAUUGGGUUUAUUAUUGAGGGUUUGUGCGAGUUUUCCAUGAGGACUUUUUCACUCUUUGAGUCACUUUCGUUAUGCAGUUAGAGGAAUGACAGAUUUGAGUAUUGUGAGAUCCUUUGUUUCUUGGAUCAAGGUUGUUGUACUUUAGAGGUAUGAGAAUUGAGUGACCUUUCACUAAGGUCUCUGAAUCAGUGUCUUCUCUACUACUCCAUCAUGGGUGAUACGAUUUACCUUUGUUGUAUUGAUAUGCGUUGCUCAUCAUUCCUUUUUACUCACUCACUAUUUUCAUUCGAUUUCCCAUCAUUUCUUUCUUACUAUUUAUUCCUUUUUUUGUCCCAUUUCGACACCUAUACACCUUCCCGACACGACACCUUUCUUCACAUUAUUUACAUGAUUUGCUGAUGGCUUGACCACUUCUUCCCCUUUCUGUUUUCACCAUUGACAUUCUCAUUGACAUCCUUUUAAGUUCACAUGCUCAUGAGAUUUUUCUACACGUUGUACACUAUACAUAAGGGUAUGGGUUUGAUCAUUGGGUAUUUGAGCCUAGUUUUCUUUCAUUUCUUUGCAUUUUCACCCUGGCCUACGUUACGUCCCGUGUCUUAAGACCACCCUGAGGCCAUGAGUCAGAUGUUAUCAUUGACAGUCUUCACUUGGACAGGCUUUUGUAGAUUGGUUGAAGUAUAUUCGUUACUAUGUUUUCUCUUAUGGAAGAUACUUUUGGGAGCAUUUGGUCUCUCUCUUGCUUGGCAUAUUGGUGUUUGAUAGAUUUUUUUGAGUUGGAGACAGUUGAUUGAUGAUUUCGAAUUCGUCAUUUUGAUUGUGCAUCAGAUAUCCACACUGGGGCAUAUUUCUCAUUUUCUUUUAGGUUCCUAAUUGUUGUUGGGCAGUAUGGCUAUUCCUAUUUAUGGUUAUAGAGAUGUUUGAUUGAUUUUGACGGAUUCUUUAUUGUACAUCAAAUAUCUAUACUAGGGCAUAUUCCCCUCUCCAUGAUGAGAUUGUGUUCAAGCAACGGUACAUAGAUAGAUGAUCAUUGUUGGUUGUUUACCUCAUGACUUCGACAUUAGACAUUAUACUGGGGCAUCUUCUCCUCCCCUUGAUGAGAUUUCGUUUGUGUAGUGGUAUGAGGAUGGAUGAUUGGUGUUGAUUGUUUAUCUCACAACUUUGACAUCAGAUUUUAUACUGGGACACAUUUCCCCAUUUUCUUUGAGUAUCCUUGAGAUUGAAACAAUGGUCAGCUUGAUUUUAGAUUGAGUAUUAGUUUAGAGCUUUCGACGAUUAACUAUAUCAGGACCUUCCUACAUGGAUUUGUUGAGAUAAAGAUAGAUCACAUCAGGUUUCACCCAAGGAGCAUGGGUGGAUCCUUUAGCCAGAUGUUCAUGAGAUAGAUUUGUUUUCGUCAUUGUUACCUUGCAGUUUGGAUUAUCCAGAUGAGCAGUAUUUUGUGCACUUGAGAUUUACUUUUAGAUGAGCCACAAUAUACACACUUUGAGAUUUACCUUUUGAGAUUCGUCAAUAGAGCAAUUUUUUCAGACACAAAGGGUUAUUUCAGUCUAGAUUUUUUUUAUUUUUUUAUUUUUCUUUUUAGAGGUUUGUCGUGAUGCAUCGAUUUUUGACCUAUUGAUUCCAGCAAAUGAUUGAUUUACUAGUUGUUUCAAUAGUGCGAGUACCUUGGAUACUAGGGCAUAUUUCCUUUCUUAAGUUCAGUGGUCUGACCCUUGGCAUUUUGAUUAUAUGACUUUGAGCCCAUUUACUUUCUAUCCACAUUGAGUUGGUCUUCUUUAUCUGUUCCUUCUAUGCCCUGAGCCUCGUAGCCUUGAGCUAUCCAUUCCUUCUAGACCUUGAGUCUUAUAGCCUUAAGUUAUUCUUUCUUUCUAGACCCUAAGUCUUAUAGCCCUGAGCUAUCUUUCUUCCCUUAGGCCCUAAGUCUGGUAGCCCUGAGCUAUCAUUUCCUUAAGACCUGGAAUCUUUCUAGCCCUGAGUUGAGCCUUCAUCAUUUGGUCGCCCAUGAGUGGUUUGACCUGGAGUUUGCGUAUCGCAUUCUCCUUUUAACCGAUCAGUCAUAGAGCCCAAAGCUCUCGACCUAGAAUCAUUUUUCAUUUAUGACCUAGAGUCAUUUCUUUUCCUUUCAGAGCCUUGAGCUCACGACCCAGAGUCAUUUUUCAUUUAUGACCCAAAGUCAUUUCUUUUCCAUUUAGAGCCCAGAGCUCUCGGCCCAGAGCCGUUUUUCAUUUAUGACCCAAGUCAUUUCUUUUCCGUUUAGAGCCUAGAGUUCUCGACCCAGAGUCGUUUUUCAUUUGUGACCCAGAGUCAUUUCUUUUCCAUUCAGAGCCCAAAGCUCUCGACCUAGAGUCGUUUUUCAUUUAUGACCUAGAGUCAUUUCUUUUCCAUUAAGAGCCUAGAGCCCAAAGCUCUUGAACCAGAGUCAUUUUUUUCAUUUAUGACCCAAAGUCAUUUUUUUUCCAUUUAAAGCCCAAAGCUCUCGACCCAGAUUCGUUUUUCAUUUAUGACCCAGAGUCAUUUCCUUUCCAUUUAAAGCCCAAAGCUCUUGACUUAGAGUAGUUUUUCAUUUAUGACUCAUAAUCAUUUCUUUCCAUUUAGAGCCCUAAGCUUGUAACUCAAAGUCAUUCAUCAUUUCCAUGACUUUGAGUCAUUAUUUUCAUCCCUUUCCAUCUUUGUGCUACUCAUCACAUACCUUUAUCUUUUUACUGUCAUUCCUCCCACAUAGAGUUGUUCCAUCCUAGUUGUUAUAGCCCGUGUUCUGAUCUUACUCUCGUCAUGUGCUAGGACAAAAUCUCUGGUCCUUCUUUAGUUCUUUGGUACAGUUCACUUCGUUCCACUCAUUAUUCGUAUUUCAACGCACAUUCUCUAUACUCGUGAUCUUUAUCGAAGAGGGGCAUAUUUGUAGACCCUCUAUUUUGUCCCUUUAGCACAUGUCUUUAAGUUCACUUCCAAUGUUUCAUAGUGUUUCUUUGAUGGCCCAUUACUACUUGUGUAGCUUACCUCUUCUGAGCCACUUUGGAGACUUUGGUUGAGGGGUUUAUCCGGCUCCACAUUAUGACCUUGGUUGCCCUUCAAGUUUAGAUUAGGUUUCGCUUAGGUGCACUUAAUGGUUAGACUUAGUUAGGCCCACCUAGUCUUACCCUAGACCCGUAUUAGGUAUACUCGGUCCAUUAGACACCCUAGGCCUAUUAGGCACCUUAGGCCCACCUAGGUCACUUAAGCCCAUUUAGACACCUAGGGCCCAUCUAGGCCCACUUAGACCCACUUAAGCCCACUUGGCCCAUUAGACAUUCUUAGCAUGACUUGCAUAGUUACAUGGCUUGUGUGGCUCAAUUUAUUUAUUUAUUUUUAUUUUUUAUUAUUAUCAAUCACUUUUAUUUGAUCAUUUAUUAUGUUUUUAUUUAUUUAUUUAUUUAUUUUAUUUUCAUUAUUAUCAAUCAUUUUUUGUUAUUUAGUUAUUUAUUAUUCUUAUUUUUUUUAUUAUCUCGUUAUUUAUUCAUUUAUUUAUUAUUAUCAUUUUAUCAUUCUCCCAUUUAUUUAGUUAUUUAUUUUAUUAUUUAUUUAUUUAUUUAAUUUAAUAAUUUGAAAUUUUUAUGGAAGAAGUCUACCAUUGGAGAAGUUUUUGACAACGGUAAGACUCUUUAAAUGAUAUCCAUGGAUUGUAGGUGAUGUGCAUGGAUUGGUAUUGUUUGAAAUUUAAAAAAAAAGAGUUUUUCCGGUACAUAAGAUAAAAUUUGGAAAGAGGAAGACUCCUCAUGUAGAAGGACUGUUAUUUGCUAUAAAAAGCUCUAACAAAUGGGUUUUUGAAAAGGGGGAAAAAAUAUAGGAGAUUCGGAGAUUGUUUUGAGAGAUAUAGAAUCAAGGGAAGAAAUAUAGGAAAUUGGGGAGAUUGUUUUUUUUCAGAAAAAGAGAGUUUUUAUAGGCGAAGGGAAGGAAAGGAGGAGAAGAGGGUGGAGACCAAAAGACAAAGCCAAGAGAGAGAUGAAGGAGAAAGGAAAUUGAUCGGCCUAUUUUCUUUUUGGAGGUAAGUCCUUCAUUAUAAAACCUAUGUUCCCUUUUCUUUUUUUUGUCUAUUAUUAUCAGGAUUUGUUUGAUGAUUGAAUGCAACUUUCAAAGGCCAUAAUUGGUGUUGAUUUUGGAUUGUUAUUGGAUUUGUCAUAGCUUGUGUUUCUUCCAUUGCUUUAUGUUUAUAUUAAAGAACGAUCCGACUUUGUUAGUUCCAUUGUAAUAUCUAGAAGUUCCUUCUUCUUUCUUCCAUAUUCAAGCCUGUUGAAAGUGCAUGCAUGAUACAUGGCUUUGAAUGAUUGCCCAUCUACGUGAUUUCGAUCCCUUCCCCUUGCCAUCCCUUUGCUAUAGAUUUUAUCGCCUUUGUUCAUGGUUUGUGCGUCGGGUUACAAGAACGUCUUAUCGUUUGCAAUGAUUAGCACCCGAGCCAUCCUCAUUUGGCUUUUCAAUGUCACUGGGGAAGUCCUUGGAGGGCGGUUGCUACUCUUGAUAUUACAGGUGGUAUGGUGGAAUUUGUGGGUUUUGUUGAGGGCAUUUGGGUUCAAAUUGAAACUACCCAUCUGAGAUCCUGGAUGAAAGAAUCAAUCCUGUGUCAGUUUUCUGUCUCAGUUAUCUAUAAGAUAGACAAGUGUCCUUAUUAGCAACAGGUGAAAGAAUGGGUAUGUAGAUAGAUCCAAGCCAAGUUGGAGAGUGGUGUCGGACAUGCACUUGAUGAAGGAAACAUUGAGGUUCUUGGAUAUAAACAUGGGUCCAACCAUCAAAUCUGAUGUGACAACCAGUAUGUUGUGUCACAAGGAAGAAAUAUUUGAACCAAUACUUCUCUACAUGGCCAUGCGAAUUUCGAGCAUAUAUACUCCUUGACUGGGACGACUCCCCCCAACCGACAUAUUGCUAGUCCCUUAGCAAUGAAGGAGAGAAAAAUAAAAAUAAAAAGUACUAUAAUUUACAACAUCAUGCUGAUCAAAAAACAAUUUUCAGGUGGCAUGAUGAUCUAACUCUCACAUGGAACAUUAAAGAAAUAAAACUCAAACUUCAACAAGAGUUAUCAAAUAACUUGUCUAAUCACAAUUCUUAAAGAGAAGGCAUUAUGCAAAUUUAAGCUUUAAAAUAGUUUCCACUCCCAAAGGGUCAAACCUUACUCUUCCACAAAAAUCUAAGUGUUAUUUAUUAGUUUCUGAAUAUAGUAUGUUGAACAAAUCUCUCCCCCUAACCUAGUUUUUUUUCAAAGCUUAGCAAACUGAUCAACCUCCAAUAGGCUAAGAACGCACCUCUUUUUUCACAAUUUUUUUCAUUGUAGGAGUACAAGGCUUAAAGGUAUUCUUUUUUAAAUUGUCCAUAUAACGGGGGUCCAUCGAUGACUCCCAACCAAUUAAGGUUUAGGGCAUCAAGCUUUAAGGAUCUUUCAACCACUAACUCCUCGGAUUUUACCCCGGACUUUUGAGAAUGAAUUUUAAUACCCAAGCACCUACAGUAUGUUAAACUCCACCUAUUCACCCUUGUAACGAGCAUUGAGGUCGGUGACUCCCAACCAAUUAAGGCUUAGGGCACCAGGUUUUAAAGAUUUUCACCAUAUACCCCUCAGACCUUGCUCGGGUUUCAAGGCAAGCAAACAUUUUUUUUUUUUUCAAAGACUCAUUGGCCUUUUACAAGGUGUCCCAACACUAUUAAACGAGGUCAAAUGUACCAAGUCUAAAAUUUUCCUAAGUCAAGAGGGAAAUAGUUUUUCAUCUUAUAAUUGGAACCUAUUGUGCACAGUGUGUGAAUUGCUUAAAGUGGAAGAACUAAGGUUGAAUUCAAUAGAAGUUUCAACAAUUCAUCAACUUUAAUAACCAUAAUACAAACUCUAAGUCAAGUAAAAAGACAAAAAUUCAAUUUCUCCCAUUUUAGUUUUGAAAAUUUUUCCUUAAUAACCAUGGAGAGUAGAAUAAAAACUUUAAAAAAUUUUAAAUUAAGCAAAAAACAACUAAAUUACCAAAAUAACUUAGCAUUAUUAACAAUACUUACUUCCUCAACUCCCCCCCCCCAACCAAGCUAAACAUUGUCCUCAAUGUGACAAAAGCGAUUGAAAAAUAGGGAGGAAGUGGUACCUCCUUAGUGACAUGGAGUCUGAGUCGUAUAGGAGAAACCACAUGUUUCAAAGAAAAUAUAAGAGUUAGUGAGUAGAGGAAAUAGAAAAAUGCCAAGUUUAAACAAAAAUGAUGUCUAUGUAUGAUGUAUCAUCAGUAAUACAUCCAAUCCUAGAAUAUAAAACAUCAAAACAUGGAAUUAUGUAUACUAAUAUAAUAAGUAAAUACAAAAAAUAAAAAGAUGAUCAAGUAAUGGUAGGGUCCUGUGGAGUUGAUGCAUUUGUGGUGGCUUCUUGAGUGGGUUGGAUCAGGACUUUGACCUCUGUUCUGGUAGUCUCCUUAGGUGGCAUAGUCUCCUCUACUGGAACUCUCAGUUGAAGCUAUGGGCUCUGAUGGUUUUAGGAGGUCAGAAAUGGAGUGAGAGGCUUGGUGUGUGUGAUCCCAAGGUGUGCGGGGCUCUCCUCUUCAGAUGCAUGGUUGUGAGGCUCUGUUGGCAUUUUAGCAAUUUCCCUUGACUUUGCAAGGUGUUUUUGCAAACCUUCCUCCAUUUCGCAAGUCAAUUUUGCAAUUUGAAGGUCAUUUCGAUGCUUGGAGGUGAUUUCGCAGCCCUUUCGAAGCUUAAAGAUCAUUUCAUAGCCAUUUCGUAGCUCAAAAGUGAUUUCGCAGCCCAAAAUUGAUUUCGCAGCUCAUUUCGCAGCUGCAAAAUGAGUGUAUGGGGCUUUGAAAUGGCUCUCAUGUGCCAAAAAGUGGUUUCGCAGCUCAAAGGUGAUUUCGCAGCUGUAUCGCAGCUUUGAAAUGAGGGGAUUUGUGCUGAAAAUGGCACUCGUGUGCCAAAAAGUGGUUUCGCAGCUGUGAAACACCCUUCCAAAUGGUGUCUCAACUGCGAAAUUCUCGCUCAACUUUGCACGCUUGUCUUCAAACGACCAUAACUUCUUCGUUUCAACUCCAAAUUGUGCACCGUUUGAAGCUCUGGACUUCUGACUUCCCAAGCUUUGAAAAAAGAUAUGGUAUGCAUAAUUUGAGCUCCAUUAAGUGCUUCAAAAAUGUGUCCAACAGUAGUGAAAUGGAGGUGCGACAUUUCCGCUCAUGGUUUGCACAGUCAUCUUCAAAUGGCCAUAACUUUUCCGUUUCAAAUCCAAAUUGAGCACCGUUUAAAUCUAUGGACUCUUGACUUCCCAAGAUUUGAAACGAGAUAUUGCAUGCAUAAUUUGAAUUUUGGUAAGUGAUCGAGAUGUGUCCAACAAUUGCCAAAAUGGGAGUACGGCUGUGACAUGUCUGUUCAUGGCGUGCGCGCUGAAGGAUUUUAAGGUGUAGAGGUUUGCAGCCAUUUCGCAGCUACGAAAUGAGUGUACGGGGCUUCCAAAUGGCAUUCGUGUGCCAAAAAGUGGUUUCGCAGCGGCAAAAGACCCUGCGAAAUGGAGCUUUGGAUGCGAAAUUGGGAGUUUUUACGCUUUGUGAUUUCACAGCCAUUUCGCAGCUGCGAAAUGAGGGUCACUGUGCUGUGAAAUGGCACUCGUGUGCCAAAAAGUGGCUUCGCAGCUAAGAAAUCCUCUCCGAAAUGGAGCUUUCCCUGCGAAAAUAGGAUAUUUCAUGCUUUGGUAGUUCGCAAUCGUUUCGCAGCUGCGAAAUGGGAGUCACCGUGCUGCGAAAUGGCACUCAUGUGCCAAAAGUGGUUUCGCAGCUGCGAAAAUUUUCGCAGAGAGGGGCCUAAGGCUAUGAAAUGGUUUCGCCGCAAAGUGCUGAUUUCGCAAAGGCUGCGAAAUCUCCCAGACCCCUGUUUUUGCUCUGUUUUCGCUCCGAUUUCGCUCCAAAAGACUUCCUUCAAUUUCUUUGCAAUUCCUCCUGAUUUUGAUCAUCUAAAAACCUAUAUUACAUCAAAACAAAUUAGAAUUAAAGCAUUGAAAUCAAAAUUAAAACAAGUAAUAAGUAAAACAAAAAGAUAUGGACUAGCUAGUCUUUAGAAAGACUAAGUCCAUCAAAAAAUUUGAUCCUGUGGUUUAGCUUGCCCGGAUCCCAUAUGAAGUUUGCAUCCCUCACUUGAGACUUGCUUUGUAUGAUUUUCUCAUACAAAGCUUGGAGGAAAGGUGGAGGCAUGUGUUUCUUCAUCAAUUCUUUCUUGAUGACUAUCCUCUGUGGUUCUUCAUCUAUAUAGUCAUCUUUCUCUGUACUUUUCCCCUUUUUCUUUCCUUUGAUUUCCUCCCUCUUUUCUUUCUCUGUUUCACUCUCUACCUUAUGGUCUAGCUUGUAUGUGGGCAGAUCAACCUCUUUACCACUCCUCAGAGUGAUCACUUCUUCAAUUUCCUUCACCAUUGAAGAUUCUCCCUCUUGAGCCUCCAUUUCAUGGAUACUCAUGGAAUUUUGAUAAGAUUGAGAAGGAGAGUUUUCUUUCUCUUGCACUGUGUUCAAAUUUGUGAGCCUUGAAAUUGAGUAUUGGAGAUUAUCAAACUUUUGGGAUAUAUCAUUUUGCAUUUCAUCCAUCCUUUUAUUCAAAGUACUCUCCACUCUGUCAAUUCUUUGAUUGAUUUGAGCAUUGAUGGCUUCUUGGUUUCCAACAAAAUCUCCCACUACCUUGCUGAGAUUCGCUAUUGCUUGUUCAAGACUUGAAGAUUGUUGAGAUGGUUGAUCCGGCUGUUGGUACUGAGUUGCUCUGGCCUUCCAUGAGAAAUUUGGAUGAUUCCUCCAACUUGAGUUGUAAGUAUUUCCAUAAGGCGCAUUGUUAUUGGGCUUGAAUUGUCCAACAACAUUUGCUUGAUCUCUAAACAUUUCCCUUUUAGCUGAAAUUGCAGAGCAUUCCUCCACCAAGUGUUCAUAAGAUAGACAAAUGGCACAAAGCAUAGCUUGCAAUGGUGUCUGAGAGAUGGCUUGCACUGGUUGCAUAUUCGUCAUUUCUAGCUUUUCCAAUCUCCUUCCCAUAGCUGCAAUCUUUGCCUUCAUGUCUAUGCCAUCAUUUAAAAUAUACAUCUCACCCUUAGCAUUAGGUUGAGACGUCAUUCUUCCCAUAUCUCUAGCAUUUGGUUCAUCCCAUCCUCUUGAGACUUCAGCCAUAUAACUCAUGAAGUUCAUGGCUUCCUCUGCUAUGGUAUUCAAUAUGGCAUGCACAACUAGAAAUUUGUGAAUUAAAAACAGAGAACACAAAAUAAAACAAAAGAAAAACAAUUCAAAGAAAGAAAAUUAAGGUAAACUAAAAACUAAAUAAAAGGUAUACUAAAAUAUGAACAAUAAAGAAAUAAAAAGAGUUAGUAAAAGGAAAAGAAAAGUCACCAAACUUGUGAUGAAGAUCACAAGUACUCUAAAAAGGUGAUAUCACUGUAAAGUGGCACCAGUCCCCGGCAACGGCGCCAUUUGAUUUGUGCCCAAUUGGUGUCUCAGCUGAUUCGUGUCCAGCUGGCGCUCCUUGAUUGAGGGAGUAAUCAACAAAAUUUAUAACCUAUUACACCAUAUACUAGGGUAGCAAAGAAAAAGCUACUAUAGCAUAGUGUCUCUAGGAUCGUUCACUGAGAUGGGUUUUCACUUUGCAAAUGAUAUUAAUUCAAAGCUGAAUUGGUGCCUUUUCAUUUCAAGGUUAGCUUUAAAAGAAAACAUAAAGAUGUUUGAAUGGAAAAAGGUUUGGUUUUAAACUAACCAAAAAUAGUAACUGAUUUUACUUACAAAGAAAAGUGUUUCUUGGAGUUUCAGAUCACUAGACUCAGAUUCCUCAUACAAAAAGGGAGUUCCGGUCACUUGUUUCUUUUCCUCGCAUUAGAGAAUUAACAUAUAGUUCCUUCUCCAACCGGUGUUGUACAGAUGCUUCCCAUUAAUGGGUUCAAACACUAAAUCCCUCUCACUGAUGCACCUUGCAAUGGCUCGUGUCUCUCACCUAGCAUUUGCCAUUCAAGGUGAUCUUUAACCUUGGAUUACCCGUCAAAAGCUCGCAAGAGAUAACUAAUGGAUGUCUCCUUGGAGUCCAAAAGCUUACCAAGUGUUGGCUAUUCUAGAAAAUUCUACCUUCAAGUCACCUCCCAAAGGCUCGCAAGAGAUAAACUAGUGAAUCUCCAUGAACAGAGAUCACUUGCCUUACCAAGUGUUGGCCCAGGUGAUUUAAAGGCGUUUUAAGUUAACUAAAAAGAUAAAAACCAUUAACGGGUCACACUUUCUCUUCAUUAAAAACUAAAACAACAAAACUUCCAAUUUAUGCAUGUGGAAACUUACCCGGCUUUCUCACUCCAAGAGACAAAAAGCUUAGCCUCUCAUCCUCUGAGGAAAAAUCUUCAGAGUUUGAUUGGCUAGAAAGAAAACUAAUGAGAAAACAAGAAUAUAUAUAUGAAAAACAGAGCAAGUGCUCUGUUCGUUGAUUCUAUAUAUGAUAUAUCUAUCUAUUUUACAGUGGAUGCAAGGGGAUAUAUAUAGAGACGUUUUUCCAACCUUCUUAACUAAGAAAUCUUAUGAUUGGUGGAUUACAAGGAGAAGUAUGGAAAUUUAUACAAAAAUAUCUGAAGAAAAGAUCUAAAAGAGUCAGUGCACAAAUAUCGGGAAGCACUAAGGACCAUUUCGCAGGUGAAAACGAGGUCUGCGAGAUUUCGCAGACACACAAAAAGGGCUGCGAAAUCACUUCGCAGCAAAAGGCUGAUUUCGCAGCGCUGCGAAGUUGGCUUUCAGCUUGUGGUGUUCGGCUUCCAACGUGUUGCAAAUAUCGGGGAAACUUCAGGAGGAAUUCCACAACACUGUGCAAAAUGGCUGCGAAACCAUUUCGCAGCAAAAGGGUGAUUUCGCAAUGCUGUGCAAAAUUCUUUCUUCAACUUGGAGUGAUCGGCUUGCAAUGGAUGUAACUCCUUCAUUUCAACUCCGAAUCGUGCUCCGUUUAAAGCAUUAGAUUCUUGACUUCCUGAGCUUUGAAAUGGUAUAUAGCAUGUAGAAAAUGGACUUUGGAAAGUGCUCCAAAAGUGUGAAAGAAGACUGCAGCUGCUGUCCUCUAUUUUCUUCACUCUGUUUUUCCUCUCUCCGUUGUUCUUUCCUUGCAUACUUUGAACGACUUUGGCAAAGGGCUAUGGAGCUCCAAAGCUUGGUUCUUCAUGAAUUUGAGCUUCCAAAAGCUUUGCCAUGAACUAUAUACAGCUCUCCCUCAUUCUUGGAUUGCUUUGGUGUAGCUAAAAGCUAUCAAAAACACCAAAACUUAACACAAUUUGAUUAGAAUUGAUUGCAAGGGUCCUUAACAUGCCAAUUGAGUUAAAAGGUAAUAACUACUACUCAAAAGUGUUUAAAAGAAUUAAUUACAAGCUAUGAAAUAGCACUUUUUGAGUAGUAAUCAAUGACGUUCAUAAUGUUGACCACGUGUGAACUAUUUUCUGAAGGUGGGAAUUUAUCGAAUUCAUUUCAGCGGCCAAUUUUGUGUGUAUUUGAUCAGACUUUGAGCUAUCAAUUGGAAUCCAGCAUAACUUUAGUUAUCGGCCGCUCGUUCAUGAUGUGUUGGGUUUGAAGCUUAAUAGGUUGGAGUAUAGGGCAGACCUCUACCACUGCUAGGUUUGCCUGACACAAGUGGACAGAUUGUUUAUAUGUUGGAUCAAGUGCGUGCCUUGGAAAAUGAGAUGCUUCUUAAGAUACAAAAGCAAAGUCUUGAUGUCAUCCCUAAAAUUCUCAUAGUUACCUGACUUAUACCUGAUGCAAAGGGGACCACACGCAAUCAGAGACUUGAAAGAAUCAGUGGUACAGAACAUACACAUAUUUUUGAGUGCCUUUUAGAACAGUAAAUAGUAUUCUGCAGAAAUGGAUCUCAAGGUUUGAUGUAUGGCCAUAUCUGGAAACCUUUGCAGAGGAUGCAUCAAAUGAAAUUGCUGUCGAGCUAUAGAGAGUUCCAGAUCUGAUCAUUGGCAACUAUAGUAAUGGGAAUCUUGUUGCAUCUUUAUUAUCUUAUAAGCUGGGAAUUACGCAGUGCAAUAUUGCUCAUGCAUUGGAGAAAACAAAAUAUCCAGAGUCUGAUAUAUAUUGGAGAAAAUUUGAGGAUAAGUACCAUUUCUCAAGCCAAUUUACUGCUGAUCUAAUUGCAAUGAACAAUGCAGAUUCUAUAAUCACCAGUACAUACCAAGAGAUUGUCGGAAGCAAGAAUCAUGUUGGACAGUAUGAGAGCCACACAACCUUCACUCUUCUAGGGCUGCACCGAGUUGUUCAUGGCAUUGAUUUUUAUCCUAAGUUUAAUAUCCAGAAGCAGACAUUGUUGAUGCCUUGCGUCCCAAUGAUCCACGUAGCUGCCAAGUGGACGCACGCUUUCAACCAAGAUUGAGUUCUGGUUCAGUCUUCUCUGCAAAAGAUGUUCGGACAGGGUGUCCGGACACACCCUCCGAUGGUUUUGUUAGUCAUGGCUCAAGAGAUUAAGCUAUCUGGCUUUUUUAGGGAUAGUCAACUUACCUUCCUCCUUGUGUGAAGGUCCUUUUAUAUAGUGUCAGAAGCUCUGCCUCCCUCUUUAAUGGUGGGAAGACUUUUUGACUCGUCAUGAUGCCUCUAGGUGGUGGCAGGGCCAUCAUCACCUUUCGGACGGCUGUCAGAGAUCGUGGGAGGUGACUUGCCAUCAUUCUUGUCAUUUCGCUCUACAGGCGACGGAACGUGGGCUGUGUCAGGCUGUCGGAAUGACGUAGCAAGGCUUGCUUACUUUAGUCAAUGACCCGAACAACAUAUCCGGAUAGGAUAUGCUAUCGUCCGGGUGUGAUGUUCGCGAGUGCCCUUGUGCUUUUCCCUGAGGGAGUCCGGAUAGGGGAGCGCGCCACGUGUCCUCUUGGGGAGUUCGGAUGGAGUUGCCCCAAAUAGCGAUGCGUGCCACGUGUCAUCAGGGGGAGGGGUCCCUACAAACAUGCCCAUAUACUUCUCAUACUCGGAAAAGGAAAUGGUUGAAAGUCACAUGCAGAAACUGGUCCAUAUGGAGAACUUGAAAAUAUGCACAUAUUCCUUUUUUUAUCCUUGCUGUCAGUUUUCACUCAACCACUGACCCUUUAAUUUCAAAAUUCAGUUCAUCAAUUUUAGAAUAUAUAUAAAAAAUUUCCAAAACUUGUAUGACUUUCUUCACUUCUUGAACUUGAAUUUAAAGUUUCGUUUGAGUUAGAAAACCAUUAUGGAAUAGAAGAUAUAAAAGAGUCUUUAGGGGGGCUCCAUUUUCACCAAGUUCUGGACACCCGAGAUCUUUUUGCAAAAAUAAAAUACUAGACGACUUUUAAAAUUUGAUUCAAUAUUUUUCCUCAAUUUUAAGCUUCUUUAAAUUGAUCUCAGGUACAUAAAAUAUUAAAAAUAUACCUUUUUGAGAGAGAAAUGAUUUUUUUAAAGUCAUGCCUACUGCGUAUGCUAGAGUCUGUACAUCUUAUUAGAUUUAGUGUUUUAAAAAUACUUUUAAGUACUAUCUGACCUUGAAUUUAUUUUUUAUGUGAUAUAGACACUUUUAAAUAUGAGUGUGAUUUGUUUUAUGAUUUUAUGUGAUCAUUUAUUAUUUUUUAAAAAAAUCAUUUAUGCAUGUCACUUUUCCUUAUCUAAUCUGGACUUUGUAGAACCUUUAGGUGUCUUUGCUGUAAUCUGUCUUUUGAAUGAGUGUUUGGCUUUUGGUAUGUUGAUCUAGAUGUGUAGAAAUUGUCUCCUAAAAUUUUUUCGUAAUUAAAUUCCACUCUAAGCCAUUUUUUUAGAUAUUGUUUUAUGAUGCUUCCUUUUCUAACUACAUGUUGAUGGUUUUAUACUUUACUCGAAAUUGUUAUUAUUUUUGAAGUCAUUUGAUUUAUCUUAGCUCAAUUUUGGCUUGGACACUGUACAUUAGACAUAAUGGAUAUUUUAUAUAAUUUAUUCUUGCCCUAACCACUCUAGCAUUUUUCGAGGAAUCUUAUAAAAUAUACUUGCUAUCCAAGUACGUUCUCUAUCCUCUAAUUCCAAAAUUCUAUGAAAAUGCAUAUUAUCAUGAGCUAUAUCCAUGUUUUGAUUUAAUCCUUGGGUGCUUAGAUGUAUGUUUGACUUGCUUGGAUAAAAUGCAUGUUGUGUGCUAUAUCUCUAUACUAACUUUGAUGUUUUAUGAUAGCGCUUGAGAGGCAGUCCAGGUAUAUACCCUAACUCUCCUUUAUUGUGAUUUGAUCUUGUUUGGCAUGCUAUUUUUUGGAAUCACCUAGCCUACUUAGGUACCUAUAAUUAACCAAUUAAUUGUCAUAUUUCCCUCAAAUUAGUUAGUAGAGACCUUUAUAGGGCUUAGAGGGGUGCUACCUUUUAGAGGUACCUUCCCAAUAGAUAACCUGAUCCCCAGACCUAGACUCGGGUUUUUCAAAGACACGCUUUUUCCAAAAAUUAUGGAGUCACUUUUUAGGGUUUUCUUUCUUGUUUUAUUUUCCCUUCAAAAUAAAAAUAAAAUAAGUGGUGACUCCGACUUUUCCAAAAUUAUUUUUUCACAAAUAAAAGCGAGUUUCGCCGAUCGAGUGGGGCGCACAUGAAAAAUGCGGGUCCACAAUGCUAUUAUAGUUCAAAUAUAUUUCACUUUUUUUACCUUUUAAAUAUAGAGAUUAAAUGACAUAAAAAUGUGUAAAUUUAUAACUAAUUUUAACUAUAUUUGAUUUUCUUUUGUAUUUUUCUUUGUGAACUCAAACAUGAUAAAAUAAUUUUCCUUGGUAUUAAUUUCUUUGUUUUUUUUUUCUUUACUCAGUACUUUCCCAAAACUAAUACAAUCUUCAACUUUGUAAUCUUCCUUAGUAGAUGUUUAUUGGUGUGUUCAGUGUGCUUCAGCCAAGUCACAUCCCUUCGACUUCAGCCAAUAGAACGGGACUAUUCUUCUUCCUAAGAUUUCUUUAAAUUAAUUUAGAGUCUAAGAUGCUAUACUUUGCAUCCUAAAGAAAGAUGUGAAGCUAUAAAAAAUAAUGAAUUUUGACACAAAAGAAAGGGUUAAAGGACUGAGCAAUCCAAAAGCUUGGUUUCAAUGUUGAGCACCUUUCAAGUUCGAAGAGCUAAAAAAGUUCCUAGAGUUUUCAUUGAUCUAAAACAAUGAAAACAUGCUUUGUGACAAGAUUUGCCAUUGACACUGAAACAAUAUAUAUAUAUAUAUAUAUAUAUAUAUAUAUAUAUAUAUACUUUUUAAACUUUGUUGAUUCAACCCUAUAACAUAAUUUCACAACAUGAUUAAUCACAUUUUCAAUAAUGAGUAGAUGCGAAGUGACUACAACUGAUUUUGAAAUCUUGUGAUGUAUAAGUAUUGAAUAUUUGAUAUUUGAUAGUUUAUAGCAAUUUUAAAAAAUAAUGUUGCAAAAACUUACUAUGGGACAUAUGUGAGAAACAUGACACUAUGCCACAUAGGAUUACUGGCAUGACAUGUGAAUUUGUAAACCUGAAAUUGUGCUUUUAUGUCAGUAUUUGGAUGACACUUCCAUUUAAAUUGUGGAAUCGUAUCUACGAUUAAGAGCAAUUUUAAGCAGAAAAAAAAAAAAAAAAAAAAAAGACCUAAUCCAACCGAUUCAAAUACAUGUUGAAAUCUGAAUUGUUAAAUAAGGAGAUAAAUAUAUAAGAUGAGAAUACAAUCACAUAGAAAAAAGGUACAAAGAAAUAGGAUGACAAUAUAAAGUUAUGGGAACUAAGCUACAUAAUAAUAGGAUUAAGAUCAUAUAAAACAAUGAGACUCCAUAUAAGGUGAAGAAACAAUCUAUAGUCACAUAAAAAACAAAGAAACCCAGAUACAGAUAUGGAAUCACCUUAUUGGUGAUAGCUUUUGGGUACGGUUUCUUCAACAUACUGCUACAUGUCUUUCACCAUCUCCUUAAAAUCUAUAUCUUCAAUCAGCGGCUGAGAUAAGCAAAUCCAAUUUUCUUCCAUCACAGAAUUUGGAUUUGCUUAUUUUAGCCGCUAAUUGGAGAUGUAGAUUUUAAGGAGAUGGUGAAAGUCAUGUUCUUAAAUCCUUUGCCGCAUCUCUUUCUCAUCCACAAGCAGAUCAAGUGAUCUCCUUCUCUUGUUCAACUAAACCAUGAAUUGGAAAGCGAUUAAAGUUCGGAUAACCUGGUCUUGGAAUGACUGCAUGUAAGGAGUUGGAUGGUGAACUUGCUGCUAGGAACUGAAUUCUCUACUGCAUCUUCUCUUGUAGUAACAAGCUUUUUCUUUAUUUGAAUCAACAGCCUUCUGGUAUUGCAUAGAAGCCAGAGAGUAGCCAUGCAAGGGGCCAGCCUUCAUUCUGAUUAAUGUUGACGACCCAGUCUUCCAAUGCGCUGAUGGCCUUGUCGAGACAAUUUCCUCCUUCUGAUUGAUGUCGAUGGUGUGAUGCUUUUAGCUUCCAACGCAUCUCUCCCUGCUGUGUUCCUCCUCUGCUUCUUGCAACUCAUCCAUAUUUGUUAUUCAAAUAUCUAAUCCUAUGUUUGGUACUUGGAAAAAACUAGGGAAAGGAAAAAGAAUACCAAGAAAAAUUAUUUUUUAAUAUUUUCUUUAUCAUAUAAAAGUAGAAAAGAAAAUUAAAUAUAAUUGAAAUUAGUUAGAAACUUACAUUUUUAAAUUAUUUAAUUUUUAUAUAAAAAAUUAUAAAUAAAUAAAAUGAGUUUGAGAAAAAUAUAUAAAUAUAUUUCUUUUAUUUUCCUUCACUUUUUCUUUUCUUUUAUUUUUCCUCUCUAUUUUUUCCCCACACAUUUUCUCAAAUCUUUUAAGAACCAAACAUAAGAUAAAGGAUAAGCGAACAUUUUGACAAUGACCAGGUGGAUUUUGGUGAGACAUGUUAA